rnacentral:lncRNA from 1 species
GAUUUCCAGAAUGUUAACAUUUCAAAGCCCUAAUAGUGGAGGCACCAGCUCAUUAUGCUGCAAAAAUGCUCUCUGCAAUAUUUAUUAAGGCUCUCAAAGGAGAUCAAAUAUUGCAUCCACUGAUAGAGGUGUCCAAGCCCCACCAUUAUUCAUUCUUUACAUUGAAUUUGCAGCAAUUACAUCUGCAAUAAAAUAGUUAAUCUGAGAAAUUUCCAAACACAAAAUAAUAAGAUCAUUUUAGCAAAAUAGAAUUAGGAAUUGAUAUCUUUAAAGAUACAAUUUUCAAACUUGACUAAUUACAAGCAUGUUUUAAGGCCACAAAAGUUCAACUAAAUAAUAAUACAUGACAACUAAACCAUAAUAUCAAUGGAACAUUUUAUUUUCUCUAUGCUAAAUUGCUAACUCUAUCAAUGGUUGACAUAAUAAUCAAGUGUUCUUGUCUAUGUUGUGCUUCAGUUUGAGUGAUAUUUUGUAAAAUAGUAUAAAGCAUAGGAAUAUACUACUGAUUUGUCUAUGCUAAUACAUGCACAGAGAGCAUAGAGAAGACAAGGAGUGUGGAAAUUCAAUGCUGAUGCAACCAUCGAUAAUGGGAGAAGAAUUGAAAAGAGAGAAAAAUUCCUUUCUUCAUGAGUCAUCUAAGAGAUAAUUUAUGGGCCAUGUGAAAUUUUAGGCCAAUUCAAGACUGGUCUCCUGUGGGCAUUAGGCCAAUCAUAAGCUUCUUUAGGAAGGUAAAAUCUGAGACAAAUAAUAUUUAAAUCAGACCUCAGUAUUUCCUAAAACUCUUAGAGUGUGAACUCAAAGUAAAAUGAUUAGUUUAGUACACAGUACGAGCAAUUGGUUAGAUAGAAAAUUUUUUGAACUUUCUGAUCUGAGCAUUUUGACAAACAUAUAAGAAGCAAAAAUAAAGAAGUGCCAAAGCAAAAUGAAAACAGAGCAUUUUGCAUGUAAGGUAAUAAAUUGAGAGUGAAGUUGAGGGAUUUCGGACCUAAAAUAACAUUCUGGAUGAAUUCACUCUUCACCAUCUUUGAUAUAAAUCUCUGGGAUAUGAGCAAUCUGGGGCCAGUCUUGACCUGUUUCCCUUCGACAUCUUUCUGCUAUUUGCUUACAAUCACGUAUAUCAAGCUCUGUAAGUGAGGUGAGGCUGCUUAUCCAGUGUGGUAAUGUUGCCAAACCAUAACAUUUUGUAAUUGAGAGACGUUGAAGAGUUGAAGCAUGUGCAAGCAGCUCACGUCUGAGAGAUUCCAUAUCAUGUAUGCCCUCCAUAUACAGAGACUCCAGUGACGAAUCAGUGACAAGCAUUAACUGCCGGAAUACCCUUUCUCUCACGUUACACAGUUUUAGUGUUUUAAGACAAGGUAAUGAAGACAAUUGCAUAGUUGUGAGCUCAGGGCAAUGAGAGAUGGUUAAACUAGAAAGAAGAGGAGACGAAGACAAUUUCAAGGAUGCCAAGUGACCACAAUCCUCAAUACAUAAUUGUGAAAGUGAUGGCAGUUCCAAGUAUGCCAAAUCACCACAAUGCAAGAUGGAUAAUUCUGAACGAGGAGAUGGAGGCAGUAGCAAGGACGUUAGCUUAGGGCAGUCAUAGAUCCAUAAGUGAGAAAGAAGAGAAGAAUGCAGUUCCAAGGAUGCCAACUUAUCACAGGAGCUGAUAUUAAAUUGUGAAAGAAGAGGAGAUGGAGGCACUAGUAAGGACGUGAGCUCACCACAACAGCUGAUAUUUAAACUAGAAAGAAGAGGAUAUGAAUGCAAAUUCAAGGAUGCCAAGUCAGAACAUUCGAAGAUAUGUAAACUAGAAAGAGGAGAAUCAAGAGAUAGAGGCAGUAGUAAGGAUGUCAGCUUAGGGCAACCGGAGAUCUCUAACUUAGAAAGAAGAGGAAAUGAAUGCAGUUCUAAGGAUGCCAACACUAUGCAGCCUUGGAUCUGUAAAUGUGAAAGACAAGGACAUGAAGUAGGUGGGUGUGUUGUGUCCCUCCUCCACAAUUCCUUCAACUUUGGCAUUUGAAUGAGAAAGAGGUUUUCAAGACAUGGGAAGAUUGGCCCUUCUGAUUGAUAGAUAUAUACUAUUAACCAUGCAUAAGCGUGAAUUUAAUAGUAUGUUAUUAUGAUGUCAUUCUAUAAACAAUUAUUUCUUUGUAUUUAAUUGGAGAUUUGCAUUAGAUAAAUUAAUCUUUCGGCAUAAUUUAAUAAUAAUUGUGUUAGUAUAUUUUAUAUAUAACUAACUGGACCAAGUAGAGAAUGGAUGUUUUGUACUGACUGUUAAAACAUAUUCUCUAGGACAUUAGAAAUAAGAUUUAUGUUUUUAAUCAUGAUUUAAUUAAUAUGAGCAAAUAUAAAAUAUCUUGUGUUUUGAUUCAUUAAAGAGUGAGUUUCAUUUAUUGGAGCGAUAAGACUCGAUGAGUUGGACAAAGACGCUUUAUGUUUGCGAUGUAUUAAAUAAUGAUUGAAUCCACGUCUCGGUAUAGAGAUUGAUGAUGCACUUUAAGUAAGCUUAUAAGGUUUCAUAGUAUAAACCCUGCAGGUGGAUUUUUAUCCGACACAUGAAUUAAGUUAAGCGACAAUCUUGAAGAUCUAUUGUUACUCAAAUAAAUUGUCAGUAAUUUGUUUGAUGUAAAUAGCAUCUGUAAUCUUAACGUGGGAAACAUAAAUUAUUAUGUAAUGGAAUUGUAAGAUUAAUAAGGAGUUCAAUCAUGAAUUUUUAGUGGUAUAAUUUGUGAUUAAUUAUAAUGAGAAUAUACUGGUCCUGUAUGAAUUCUUAUUAUAAUUAGUAGUCUUGUUAAUUUUAUUCCUGCGGUCCCUACUGUGCCUUAAUUGUUUGGACUAUACAUGAAUUAUGUGUUUUAAAUAAAUGAUAGAUUAGUUUUUAAUUAAAUUUUAUUUAAUUAAAAAUAGAUAAUCUAAUUUAUUUAAAAUGAGCAUUUUAAGGGAAAGAGAGUCACGCUUAUAUCUUUUUUCUUGAAGCAAAUUAUGUGCUUAAGAGUUUCUAAGAAAGUGGUCUUCUUCCCAUCGAAGAGAUAUAUAUUAGAAACAGAAAAAAGAGUUUCUAACAAAGUGGUCUUCUUCCCAUCGAAGAGAUAUAUAUUAGAAACAGAAAAGAGAGUGACGUACCCUAGCUAUUGUUUUUUCUGCCCACUCAGAAAUCAUAGUCCGGAAAAUUGAUAAGGUAAACAGCAGAAGAUUGUAGGAGAUUGUGGGCGUUUUCAGCAGAGAAAAAGGUCAGUCUUUUACAUAUGGUUUUGGCUUGCCUCCAUGCUUGUUUCAUCAUGAUUUGUUUCCGCUGCGUAAAUCAUGGUUUCUAUCAAUUGGUAUCAGAGCCUUGUCUGAAACUCGUUUGGAGGUAGCUAAACAUCUUUUAUAUAGAUUCUCAUAUUUACGAUGGAUUAUUUUUUUUUUUUUUCAUCUAUUGUAUGAUAUGGGUGUUUUACGAUUCAAAAUCACAAAAAGAUUGAUGCAUGUUUUUUGCUGUUAAAGAGAGAUUUUGAAUGACGAAAAUGGGUGUUUUAUAUUAUAAUAUUAUAUUGAUUGGCAUGAUGGGUGUUUUAUAUUAUAAUAUUAUAUUGCAUAUAAGGAUGUUAAUGACUGCCGUUUUCAUCAAAUGCUUCAAUUAUAAUAUUGUAUUGUUGAAUGCUUCUAAUUACCGCAAAUCAAGAGUGAUAAUGGCUGCAAUUUUUUUUAAUAAAAGUGCAUAGGUUCACUGCUGUUCAUCCGAAUGUCAUGCAUAAUUUCAUUUGUGAUUUUGGUGAUUUGCCAUGCGAGUUUCUGCAAUAAGAUUGUGCUGUUGUAGACUGCGCAAAAGACAUUAAUUAGAAUGCUACAUGGCUGAACAUUGGUGUUUAUUGCUGAUUUUUGUAAGGUUAUUUUUCUAUCGCAAAUCAGAACAUGCUUGCUGCAGUUUUGGUUUUGAUAACAUGAAUGUUUUAGUAAACCAGCAGCUCAUUUAUUUCCAUUAAUUUGUGAGUAUUUCAAGAGUUGCUAGUUGUGAUUACUUACAUUUUCUUCCUCAUUGGCAGAUGAUAUGUUUUGAUGUAAUCAUUGUAACUCUUCUAGUAUUGUCUAUAUUUAUUUAUCUCUCUAUCUGAGUAAAUUAAUUAGGGACAUAGACUAGAAGUUAUAAUUUCACAUUUAUAUUUAAGAGGCAUGUUUUCUCCCAUCGAGUGGUACAUGUUGAUCUUAUGUUGCUUUUAUAUGCAUAACAUAUGUUUAGUUUAAUUCUCCCAUUGAGAUUACUGUCCAUGGAUGUUAUGAUGCAUAUAUGAAUUUUGCUGUCAUUAUUGUUAUUAUGCAAUCUUGAUUUAAAUUCAGUUUUUGAUUAUUAUUGAAUUGCUGUAAUUUUAUUUUAUGCAUAAUCUUGUGACAGAAUGACAUCUUUCAAUCCCUUAGCCAAUAUCCUAACCCAAAACAAGCUUGAGGGUCCUAACUAUGUUGAUUGGAAAAGAAACUUGCACAUUUUGCUUACUGCAGAAGAAUAUAAGUUUGUGCUCAGUGAAGUGUGUCCUGAAAAACCCGGUGAAGGUGCCACUCAAGAUCAAAUUAAGGCUCACCAGAAAUGGGUUAAAGCUGAUGAGAUGGCGCGAUGUUACAUUUUGGCAUCUAUGUCAAAUGUUUUGCAACAUCAGCAUCAGAAAAUGGAUACAGCUUAUGACAUCUUAGAAAAUCUCAAGGAGAUGUUUGGAGACCAAACUAGUGCAGCAAGGCAGAACGCACUAAGGGAGAUCCUGACUUCUAAAAUGGAGGAAGGAACUCAAGUAAGAACUCAUGUUUUGAAGAUGAUGAGUCUUAUGAAUGACAUGGAGGUUCUAGGUGCUGAAGUUGACAAGGCUACUCAUAUUGAGAUGGUCUUGAACACUCUGCCUCCCAGUUUUCAGCAGUUUCGUUUGAACUAUAACAUGAAUAAAAUGGAUUUUACUCUGUCUAAACUGCUGAAUGAGCUGGUAGCUGCUGAGACUAUUAUUAAGCAAGGAGCUGCACCUGUUGUGCUUAACAUUGAGCGAGCUUCUUCAUCUGUCCAGAAAAAGGGUAAGAAAAAGAAAAAUGUUAAGCCGAACAACAAUGGUGCUGCUAAAGGUGUAAAUGGUGUUGUGAAAAAGCCGAAAGGUAAGUGUUUUCACUGCAAGCAACCUGGUCACUGGAAGCUACAAUGUCCGACAUGGCUAGCCAAGAAAAAGCAAGGUACAUCUCUUUUUCAUUUACUGGUUGUUGAAACUUGUUUAGCGGUGUUGACUGCACACCAAUGGUGUGUAGACUCAGGAGCCACUAAUCAUGUCUGCAAUUCAUUGCAGGGGUUUCAGGAAACACGCCAGCUAAGUAAAGGGGAAGUGAACAUUUUUCUGGGAGAUGGCACUGAAGUUGCAGUUUUAGCUGUAGGAAACAUUGCUUUGAAUUUUAAGAAUAAUAGAACAUUGAUUUUAAAGAAUGUCUUGUAUGUUCCUUCGAUUAGAAGGAAUUUGAUUUCAGUUUCUAGUUUGAGUAAGAAUGGAUAUUCUGUUUGUUUUAAUGAAUUUUAUGAUGGUUAUGUCAUUAUUAAAUUUAGAGAACAAAUGAUAUGUUCUGGCUCUUUAAUUGAUGGUUUAUAUAUUCUUAAAGUUACACCUGAAUUGCAACUUACUAAUUCUGAAGUAAAUAACUUUGAUAUUGUUGCUCCAUUGAAAAGAAAGCGUCCUAUUGAAUUGAGCUAUACUUAUCUUUGGCAUUUGAGACUUGGUCAUAUUAAUUUAGAUAGAAUUUCUCUGUUGGUUAAAGAUGGACCUUUGAGUUCAUUGAAAGUGGAGGCACUACCAACGUGUGAAUCCUGUCUAGAAGGAAAAAUGACUAAGAGACCUUUUCCCUUAAAGGGUAAUAGAGCCAACGAUGUUCUUGAAUUAAUCCAUUCUGAUUUGUGUGGUCCAAUGAGUGUCCAAGCUAGGGGUGGUUUUGAGUAUUUUGUGACAUUCACAGAUGAUUACUCAAGGUAUGGAUAUAUUUACUUAUUGCGCCGUAAGUCUGAGUGUUUUGAGAAAUUCAAAGCAUUCAAGGCAGAAACGGAGAAGCGACAUGGGAAAUAUAUCAAAACAUUACGGUCUGACCGUGGUGGAGAAUACAUCUCUAGGGAAUUCAUUAACUUUUUAUCAGAACAAGGGAUUACUUCACAGUUAUCUGCACCUGGUAUGCCACAACAGAAUGGUGUAGCAGAAAGAAGAAAUAGGACACUUAUGGAAAUGGUUAGAUCAAUGAUGAGUUAUUCAGAUUUGCCAAUUUCAUUCUGGGGACAUGCAAUUGAGACAGCAGCAUACAUUCUGAAUUUAGUUCCUUCUAAGUCAGUACCUAAGACUCCUACAGAACUGUGGACUGGACGUAAGCCCAGCUUGAAACAUGUUCGGAUGUGGGGUUGUCCAGCACAUGUGUUGAAAGGGAAAACAGAUAAGUUGGAAACAAAAACAGAAUUAUGUUUCUUUAUUGGAUAUCCUAGAGGAACGAAAGGUGGUUUAUUUUAUAGUCCUAAAGAUAAAAAGAUCAUUGUUAGCACCAAUGCACAUUAUCUUGAGGAAGACUAUAUUAGAAACCAUAUUCCCAAAAGCCAAUUAGCCUUAAAUGAGUUGAGAGGAGACACCAUACCAACUAGAAUUUUUCCAUCAGAACAUGAACCUGAACCAUUCAUGGUCGGAGCUGACAUUCCGUUACAUCAACGUAGUGGGAGAAAUGUUAGUGGACCGGAAUUUGAAACUUCUGACAUUUCAUUGCCUGUUGGUGAUGAAGAAAAUGUUGAAGCACCAGUACAUGUGCCGUUUGAAGAACAUAUUGAUGAAGUACAGGAUGUGGUCCCACCAGUCAUAGACUUGCUGGCCUUACAGCCACAGUAAGAUGAAGGUGUGGCUGAACAACCUAUAGUACUUCGUCGUAGUGGGAGAACAAGACGACCACUGGUUCGAUAUACACUCUUGGGAGAAGCAUUUGAUAGAAUCCCUGAAGAAGUGAAUACCGAACCAGUAUGUUACGACGAUGCACUACAAGAUAAAGAUGUUGAUAAGUGGCUGGUAGCUAUGAAAUCUAAGAUGGAGUCUAUGUACUCUAAUCAAGUCUGGGAACUUGUAGAACCACCUAAAGGGGUGAAACCCAUUGGAUGUAAGUGGAUCUAUAAGAAAAAAAGAGGUAUAGACGGAAAAGUGCAAACUUAUAAAGCUAGGCUUGUUGCGAAAGGGUAUACUCAGAAAGAAGGGAUCGAUUAUGAGGAAAAUUUUUCGCCAGUAGCCAUGCUUAAGUCUAUUAGAAUUCUCUUAUCCAUUGCAGCUUAUUUCGAUUAUGAAAUUUGGCAAAUGGAUGUCAAGACAGCUUUCUUAAAUGGAAGUCUUGAUGAAUGCAUCUAUAUGAAGCAACCAGAAGGUUUCAUAACAAAUGGGCAAGAACAUUUGCUAUGUAAAUUGAAUAGGUCCAUUUAUGGCCUUAAACAGGCAUCUAGAUCUUGGAAUACUUGUUUUGACCAGACGAUCAAGACUUUUGGUUUUGAUCAGUGUCAUGAUGAGUCUUGCGUGUAUAAGGAGUGGAAUGGUAAGAAGGUGGUGUUUUUGGUACUAUACGUGGAUGAUAUUCUACUUAUAGGAAAUUGUAUAGGUAUGUUGACUUCGGUCAAGGACUGGUUGUCUCAGCGUUUUGAUAUGAAGGACUUGGGAGAAGCUGCUCAUAUUCUUGGGAUCAAGCUUAUGCAAAAUCGCAAGAAAAGGAUGAUAGGCUUAUCCCAGGCACUUUAUAUUGAUACUAUUCUCAAUCGUUUCAACAUGCAGGGUUCAAAGAAGGGUUUUCUUCCUUUUAGACAUGGAAUCGCUCUAUCUAAGGAUCAGUCUCCUAAGACUCCUGAAGAGAUAGAAAGCAUGAAGGCAGUUCCUUAUGCUUCUGCAGUAGGAAGUCUCAUGUAUGCGAUGUUGUGUACUAGACCCGAUAUCUGUUUUGCUGUUGGCAUGGUAAGCAGAUUUCAGUCUAACCCGGGGAGAGAACAUUGGACUGCAGUUAAACAUAUAAUCAAGUACUUAAAAAGAACUAGAGAUUAUAUGUUAGUUUUCCAGUCAGAAAAUCUUGUGCCCAUAGGGUAUACAGAUUCAGAUUUUCAAUCUGAUCAGGACUCUCGUAAAUCUACCUCGGGAAAUGUUUUUGUCUUAGGAGGUGGAGCCAUUAGUUGGAGGAGUAUCAAAAAAACUUGUGUUGCUGACUCCACCAUGGAAGCUGAAUAUGUGGCAGCCUCUGAGGCAGCCAAGGAAGCUGUGUGGCUUAGAAACUUCCUUUUGGAUCUAGGUGUGGUUCCUUCGGUUCAAUCGCCUAUUACACUUUAUUGUGAUAAUAGCGGGGCGGUUGCAAACUCGAAAGAGCCACGGAGCCAUAAAAGGGCAAAACACAUAGAGCGUAAGUAUCACUUGAUACGAGACAUAGUUCAAAGGGGUGAUGUGGUGGUGAUGAAGAUUGCAUCGGAAAACAACCUAGCAGAUCCUUUUACAAAGAGCUUAUCGUCCACGACUUUUGAAAGACAUGUAGAAGGAAUGGGGGUUAAAGUAGCAGAUGCAUGGUUAUAAGUCUAAGUGGGAGAUUGAUAGAGAUAUACUAUUAACCAUGCAUAAGCGUGAAUUUAAUAGUAUGUUAUUAUGAUGUCAUUCUAUAAACAAUUAUUUCUUUGUAUUUAAUUGGAGAUUUGCAUUAGAUAAAUUAAUCUUUCGGCAUAAUUUAAUAAUAAUUGUGUUAGUAUAUUUUAUAUAUAACUAACUGGACCAAGUAGAGAAUGGAUGUUUUGUACUGACUGUUAAAACAUAUUCUCUAGGACAUUAGAAAUAAGAUUUAUGUUUUUAAUCAUGAUUUAAUUAAUAUGAGCAAAUAUAAAAUAUCUUGUGUUUUGAUUCAUUAAAGAGUGAGUUUCAUUUAUUGGAGCGAUAAGACUCGAUGAGUUGGACAAAGACGCUUUAUGUUUGCGAUGUAUUAAAUAAUGAUUGAAUCCACGUCUCGGUAUAGAGAUUGAUGAUGCACUUUAAGUAAGCUUAUAAGGUUUCAUAGUAUAAACCCUGCAGGUGGAUUUUUAUCCGACACAUGAAUUAAGUUAAGCGAAAAUCUUGAAGAUCUAUUGUUACUCAAAUAAAUUGUCAGUAAUUUGUUUGAUGUAAAUAGCAUCUGUAAUCUUAACGUGGGAAACAUAAAUUAUUAUGUAAUGGAAUUGUAAGAUUAAUAAGGAGUUCAAUCAUGAAUUUUUAGUGGUAUAAUUUGUGAUUAAUUAUAGUGAGAAUAUACUGGUCCUGUAUGAAUUCUUAUUAUAAUUAGUAGCCUUGUUAAUUUUAUUCCUGCGGUCCCUGCUGUGCCUUAAUUGUUUGGACUAUACAUGAAUUAUGUGUUUUAAAUAAAUGAUAGAUUAGUUUUUAAUUAAAUUUUAUUUAAUUAAAAAUAGAUAAUCUAAUUUAUUUAAAAUGAGCAUUUUAAGGGAAAGAGAGUCACGCUUAUAUCUUUUUUCUUGAAGCAAAUUAUGUGCUUAAGAGUUUCUAAGAAAGUGGUCUUCUUCCCAUCGAAGAGAUAUAUAUUAGAAACAAAAAAAAGAGUUUCUAACAAAGUGGUCUUCUUCCCAUCGAAGAGAUAUAUAUUAGAAACAGAAAAGAGAGUGACGUACCCUAGCUAUUGUUUUUUCUGCCCACUCAGAAAUCAUAGUCCGGAAAAUUGAUAAGGUAAACAGCAGAAGAUUGUAGGAGAUUGUGGGCGUUUUCAGCAGAGAAAAAGGUCAGUCUUUUACAUAUGGUUUUGGCUUGCCUCCAUGCUUGUUUCAUCAUGAUUUGUUUCCGCUGCGUAAAUCAUGGUUUCUAUCACUGAUGAACACCCCAAGUACUCCACCUCCGACAGAUCAACAAGCUGCAGGGACUUGAGUUGACUCAACACACCAUUCCUCAUCCAACUCGGAAACCCCAUACCUCCAUAACGUCCUAUUCUGAGCUCCUCCAGGCUUGGAGGUGGGUGUAGGCCUUCCAUCAGUUUCUCAGCAUCCCUGCCAGACUGAGCUGAUCGGUUCUCCCAUCCCAAGGCCAACAUCCGAAUGUAUUUUUUUUCCCUCAAAUUUGCUUUGUCGGAUUCGUCCACGGCAUCCCUCACAUUUUCGAGUUUUUGAAUCCUUAGCUUACCUUUGAGGUUGUUAAGCCCUUUCAAUUCACUCAAUCUACCAACCCCUCUCUCAUUUCCAACGACAAAUAGUGGUAGGCUUUGAAGCAAAGUCAACUUUCCUAUUCCACAUGGCAUACUCAAAUAGCCGUCAUACUCCCAGUGCCUAAGAUUGAUCAAUUGUCUCAUAUCUUUGGGCAUUUCUUUUAACACAUGACAUCCAAUAAGCUUCAAUGUUUGUAAAUUUUUUAACCUUGUAAUACUAUUUGGGAGUACCUCAAACUUAUUGUGGGAGAGAUCGAGAUAUCUUAGAUGACUCAAUUUACCUAGAGAUUUCGGUACCUCCUUUACUUUGAAUCCAUUUAAGCUCAACACACGUAAACACUUAAAACUCGAAAAAUAUAUAUUUGGAAUUGAAUCAUCUUUGUACCCAUGUAUUGGAAUGCUUAAAAAGGUCCUUAUGUGUUUUGCCCUUAAAGCCUUCAACUUAAGAUUCAUUGAAUUAAACAACGAUACAUGACGAACUUCUUUCGGGAUCUCCUUCACAUCAUCUUCUAAAAUAAGGACUUCAGAUUCUACAACUGACUGUGCAAGGUCAUGCAUGAGAUCAUGCAUUUUACAACUCAAUAUAUUAUUAAAAGCAUCAUUUCUAAACUUCUCCAACAAUGAUCUCGACAAUAAUUCCUCAAAAUAUUGAUGUCCUACAUUCUCAUCUAAAGGUUGAAUAUAACCCUGUGCCAUCCAUAAUUGCACCAACAUGUUUUUCUCAAUUUUGUAAUCUUUUAGAAAUAACGCACAAUAAGUAAAACAUUGCUUCAAAUAGAUUGGCAAAUCAUUGUAGCUUAACUUCAACACCGAUAAAACAUUAUCAUUUCCAGCUCCUAGUGAUAGCAAAUUUCUAUUAUUUUUUAUGGACAGCCAAUGACUUUCCUCUGUUUUCAGGCGCAACAUUGCUCCCAGUGUUUUGAUGACAAGCGGAACUCCGUUACACAUAUUUACAAUUUCUUUUCCCAUUUCCACCAACUUUGGAUGCACUUUCUCUGGUUCUUCUGCGAAUGCUAUUUUUGAAAAUAAAUCCCAAGCCAGGCUGUCUUUCAACCCUUCCAAAAAAAAGGGAGAAUUAAUUCCCAUUAUUGAUGCGACCUUACUAUGUCGGGUGGUCACCAAAAUUUUACUCCCCUUUCCAACAACCAUCAACAAACUUUUCAAUUGAUCCCAUUUUUCAGGAUUUUCAUUCCAAACAUCGUCCAGGACUAGCAAGCAUCUCUUUUGACUAAUCUUUUUAUGAAGGAGAUUUUUUAAACCAUUCAACUCCAACCAUUCUACAUCUUGCUCACACACUUCUUUUAAGAAUUUUUUAACCAAUGACUUCACAUCAAAAUGAUCAGAAACACAAACCCAUAUUCUAGGCUCAAAAUAUUGCACCACUUUCUCAUCAUUGUACACCAACUGGGCAAGGGUGGUCUUACCCAACCCCCCAAUCCCAACAAUGGCAACCAUGGAAAGAAUUUCUUGAUUAUCAGAUGACACCAACGACUUUAUUAUCUCCUCCUUGUUUUCUUCUCUUCCCACAAUUUCAGAGGUCAACACAAAUGAGUGAGUCUCUCUCCAACUACUCUCUACCUCCCUCUGAACUAUGUUCCCUUGAACAAGUUUUAAUAGAUUGAUUUCUUUUACAAUUUCAUCAACCUCUUCUUUGAUAUUCUUGACCUUACUACUCAUCUUAAAACGAAAUACGAGCUGAUUCGAAGAUGAGAAGAAGUCACUGACCUGCCUUGCUACUCCCCCACGCUGCAGCUGAUGGGUUGCAAAGUCAUCCAACAAGUCAUCAGCAUCAUACACAACAUCUUUGAGCCUCCUCACCCAUGCUUUUACUGCAUCGCUCUCCUCCUGCCUCUUCUCAGCAUCAACCAGUACACCUUUGAUGGUGGUCAGUUUCUUCGUAAGCUUCGUCAACUCCUUUGCCACACCAAACGCAGAUCCAAUUUGUUGAAUAGACGAGGAGCCUAACUUGGUUAAAACGUCAGCUAUAAUAUUGAAUAGGAUUUGUUCAGCCAUUUUUUGAAGAACUCAAACUGCAGAACGCUAACAAAGUAUGGUAAGAGAAGGAGAAGUUGAGGGAAUUGUGAGAGAAUACCAGACAGACUAGUGAGAGGAUAAUAGAAGUCACAUGCAGUGGGCCUAAUAUGAUAUACUUCGAUUAGUCAAAAAGCAGUGUGAACUCAUCAUAUGGUUGAUAUUGACAUAGGACACUGCCAAUCAACUUUUCUCUGGACAAAUCUUUGGAUGAUUUAAUAAUUUGUAUUAGAUGAAAAGAUUAUUGUUAACAUUUUCCAAUUUUUAAAAUCUAAAUUUUUUUAGAAUGAAUCAAACUAUUAAUUCUUUCUUUGAUACUUAAAGUUGGAGGGGUUUAAAUUCUAUACUUUCUCCUUAUUAAUUAAAUAUAUCUAUAUGAAGACGACAAAAACGGGAGUAGAGAUUAGGCUAUUUUUUGUGGGCCUAACUUAUGUACAUGGGAUGUAAACAUAUUUAUGAGUAAUUUUUAGAUUAUGUUCCGUUUUCAAAAUUAUAAAAAAAAAGAAAAAAGAAUGCCAAGAAAAAUGAUUUUUUUUUAAUUGUAUUAUAAAAAUAUAAAACAAAAUAAAACAUAAUUAAAGUUAAUUAUAAAUUCAUGUAUUUUUUAAUUAUUUAAUAUUUAUAUAAAAAAAUUAAAAUAAAUGAAAUGAAUCUGAAAUAACGUAUAAAAAUAAUUUAUUAAUUUUUUUUUAUUUUUCAUAUUUUAUUUCUUCUUAUCUUUUUUUCUUUAUUUUUCUUCCUUUACAUUUUUUUCUCAAAUCUAAAUAUAACCUAAAUAUUAGAUGAUAUUAUUUAGAUAACAUUAAUAAUGGGUUUCUUUGUAAUUUUAUGAAUAUUAAAUUUAACCUUCUAAAAAAUGAUUUUCAUGUACUAUCAUUAUAAAUAUUUAUAUAUUCACGAGGCACAUCCUCUUCAAAUUUACGAUUUUCUAGUCAUGCAUUUUGACAUUCCUUUAUAUUAAUUAGUUACAUUUUUUCUGUGAAGGAUGAAUUAAGAUAAGAUAAUUAUAGUUUACUUUAUCUCUAUAAUUUCUCUUCGGAGGUUAUUUGAAUAAUAGGGAGAAUAUUAGAAGAAGUGGUAGGUGGUGGUGACAUUAAAAGUGGGUAGACUAGAAAGAGCAAUAAGUGGGGCCGAGUUUGACCUUUCAACAAAAGUUGUUGAAAGACAAUCAUAAGAUGUCAUGUUGUGGUUCUUCAUAUAAUCAAACCGACACAGCAAAGUGAUCUACGGCAGCUGGUAUCAAAGUAAUGUGAAGGUAGAAAAAGGCUAAAUAUUUGCCAUGUACUAUCACGAUUUUGACAAAAGUAUCAUUUAUUUGAAAUAAUAUUUAGUAAAUAUCAUAAUUUUAAAACUAUUCCCAAACUUUGAGAGUAUGUGUGGUUCUAAAGGAAACUAGUGUUCUCAUGAUUUUAUUAUAGAAAAUAUAAAAAAAUAAAAUAUAAUUAAAAUUAAUUAAAAUUUUAUAUAUUUUAAAAUCAUUUAAUUUUUAUAUAAUAAAAGGGAAAUAAGUGAAAUGUGUUUGAAUAAAUAUUUAAAAAUAAUUUAUUAAAUUUAAAUUUAUUUUUUAUUUUUUUUCAUUAUUUAUUUUCUUUUACUUUUUUUAUUUAUUUUUUUCUUGUAUUUUUCCUCAAAACUUCAGUGAACCAAAUAUAGUCAUAAUAUUUUUUAAGGUAUUAAUUUAAAUUAUUCAUUUUAAAAGACAAUUACAAAAUUAAAUUCAACUUUUGAUUGGAUUUCUCUCACCUAGAUAGAUUUGAAAAUAUUUUAUCAAUUUUUAUAUUAAUUUUUUAAAUUAUUGUAUUUUUUAAAAUCCCAUAUAUGAACACUCACUCCAAAAAGAAAUAAAUGUAAAACUUGGCAUGAAAGACUAUAAUCUUUGAUAAUAAAUGAGGUUAAUUCCCAAGAGAAGGGUUUCUUUGGAUUUUGAGUCGGGUUGGGAAAAAGGUAAUUCAAAAUUUUCAUGGCCAAACCAAAUCAAUUUGAUUUUCUUUUUUCAUUUUUCUUUUUUAAUAAAAUCUUAAAUUAUAUAAAAUUAAGUUAAAAGAUUAAAAAUUUCAGUUGAAUUUAUUGAUUGAAAAGUUAAAUAAAAAGAUAUUAAAUUGUAGUCAAAGCUUAGUAUCAAUUCUAAUACUAAGAAUAAUUAUAAAAAUAACAAACAGAUUUUUAAAGCAUAAACCAAAUAUAGCAAAUUUAGUGUUAUUAAUUUUUCAAAUAUUGUUUGUGUACCAUAAGAUUAAAUAUAUCAAAUUUAAUUUUAUAAAUUGAUUAAUCUUCUAUAUUUUAUUUGAUGUAUGUUAACGCUUACGUUAAAAAUCAAUAUAUAAUUUUUUGAUCCACACACCUUAAUCCUAUCAAAAUACAUAAUAAAUAAAAUGAUACUAGUCUAAGAAAAUAAAAUUAUGAUACACCAUGUUAUUAUUCUUGUUUUACGUCAAAUAAAAUUUUUCAAAUUAUAUUUGUUAUAAUUUUGCUAUGCUAAUUGAUUUAACAGUAAAAGUAUAGUAUCAUAAUAAUUUAUUUAGUUUUUUAUUUGUUUCUCUCUUUUUGAAGCAUCAAUCUUAAAAUUUCUUGGUUUAUUUGUGACUUGGUUCAAUAUGAUAAAUAUAUAUAUGGUUAGUGACACAUGUUUGUACUCUUCUAAAUUAAAUUCAAUGUUAUGUUGUUAGUUGAAAAGCAAUGUAAGUUUAAAGUGAUGUGAAUGAAUAAUAUAUUUCCAUUUUAUUUAGUUAUGUAUGGAUUCAAUCUUUUCUUUAUUUUACAAAGAAAAUGAGAAUUUAAUUAUUGAAGAAUUGAAUCACUGAUUUUAUUAAAGCCUUUAAUUAAAUCAUAGUAAUCAAAUGAUAAAUUCAUAUAAGCUGCAAUAUUAUUAUAUUGUAUUGUUUUUUUGUGUUUAAACUUAUUUUUGGAGUCUUUGUUUUUAAUUUGGAUAGAAAGUUUAACCUCUAGUUUAAAUUUUAAAAUCCUAGGAGGAGAUUUAAAAAGAAGUAGACAUGCAUAUUUAUAUUUUGUUAGAAAUGACACAAAUUUUUGUUGGAUUAAAAAAUCAUAUAAAAGUAUAUUAACAUUUAGUCAAAAUCUUUAAAAAUCUUUUUAAAAUUAAAUAUAAGAUCAAAUAUCAUAAAAAAUCAUGAAAUUAAUGUUUUUUUUCCUGUGUGCAUAUUUGAAAAUAUAUACAAAAUGAAAACUUAUUUUUUCAUAUUUUAAUUCAUAUCAUGAAAUUCUAAAAUAUUUAUUAUAUUAUGAACUUUUAUUCCCAUGGAUAAUAUCUUUGAUACGAGAGCAUAUAAAAUUUUAAUUAUUUAUUGAAAAAUUAUUUAUUUAUUUAUUUAUUUGAAAAGUGUAUGCCAAACACAUUUUUUCCAAUUGAUUAUAUCAAAAUGUUCAAAUGAUACAUUUCUUUGGAUGCUAUCUCUCAUCAUAUUUACACAUUUUGAUUAUGAUAAAGAUCAGCAUUACCCAUAAAUUUGUAUCAAAAAGGGUUUGAAUACGCUAUGUUUCUAAUGAAGAGGUGGAAAUAAGCCACCAAAUAUUCAACUCCAGUAGAUGAUCGGGCGAUUGACUUCUGCUUCUUAGAGGACUAGCUAGGAAAUGGAGUUGCUCGUGAGGAAAACAACAUGGGUACUAGUUGAAGAUCUAUCAUCAAAGUUACCUGCCCAAUCAACAUUGAAAAAGGCAUGCAGACGAAGUGGAGAAUUCUUAAGAGACCAUGAUGAAAGUGUACGAACCAAAUAACGAAGUGGAUGCUUGACUGUGGACCAAUGCAUGAUGGUGGUGGGAUAUGUACGUUGUGAUAGCGAAGGCUUUCAUGCAAAUAAGAUUAAUUCAAGAACACAAAGAUAAAAAAUAAAAAAAUAAAAAAUUCAAUACAAAUGGUACACAAAGUUUUAAUGUGGUUUAACCAAUCAUGCCUACCUUCACGAAUAAGAGAAUCAUUCUACUAUACAAUAGAGAAUAUUAUAAAGAAGAGAACUAGAUACAACUAUUGGGUUCUCUUCGGGUAUUUUCCGUUCUUUCUCACAUCUCUAUCCACUUCGUAUAUACUCUACAUGUUUAUCUUCAUCUUAUAAUUUUUUCCCUUUAUGACUUAAAACAUUUAUAAAGAUAUUUCUAACAACUUUCCUUAUUCUAUUGGGAAAUCUAUUAUAACAAUAAUAUAUUUAACUUAGAAAAUAUUCUUUACAAAAAGGAAUCUUUGCUAAUUAGGGAUUUAAGACAAUUCCAAACAGGAUGUAUAAAUUAGGACAAUCCCACCUCUGGCAGAGAUAUUUUGAGACUUCCAUGAAGAGGAUAUUGGCACAACUCAACACCUUGGCGUGAAUUGUGGGACUCAAAGGAGUGAUAAGGUUGAAAACUCCCACAAUUCAUGCUACAACAGUGGAGAGACGUUGAAAGAUGAAGGAGUCUCAAUGGCAACAACUUCAACUCGAAAUGGUAGUUUGACUAGUUAAAGAAAUGUCAACAAAUUGACUGAGUAAAUCCUGGAUUCAAAAUAGAGCUUAUCUUGAAGAAUUCUGUUAUUUUUAUUUUUUGUUAUCCCAGUUUUCUUUUGUGUUUAAAUAGAGGACGUGGUCUUCUAUAUGUUGUAUUCUGGAAAAAAAACAAAGGUGUUACAUCUCCAGCCAUGUCACGUAUAAACUCAUUCUUUUCCUCUUCAUCUGUUUUUUCAAAUUCUCUUUUUGGUAUCAAAGCCACUGUGACAACGGCACAACCUAGCACCUUGCCCUCAAAUAACCAUGACUUUCCUCUCACUCAAUGUUGGAAAUUUUAUUACUCUCAAACUCAGCCCCACAAAUUAUCCAUUGUGGUGUGAACAAGCCUUGGCCCUUGCAGAAAGCUAAGAAUUGCUCGGUCUCCUUACUAAUGAAGAUCUUGGUCCACCUCAAUACACCAUACCAGAUUCCAGUAAUACCCCAACUGCAGAAAUGUAUGCACCAAGAAUAACCGAAGCAUACAUUGCAUGGCAUAAAGCGGAUCGUCUUCUUUGAGGGUGGAUAAUUGGAACACUCUCUAAAGAAACACUUGGCCUCGCCGUGGGCUUAGAUACAACAAAUGUCGUAUGGGAAGCAUUGAAAAAUGCAUGCGCUGAAGAUUCACAAGAACGAGAAUUCACACUCAGGCAACAAGUAACAUAUCUUCGGAAAGAAGAUGACAACACAAUUGGAGAACAUAUUCGAACCUUCAAAAGCCUAUGCGAUAGUCUUGCGGCAAUUGGGAAACCAGUCCCAGACAAGGAAAAGGUAUUUUGUCUUCUCACGAGUCUUGGUCCUUAAUAUGAAACUUUAACUACUACCAUUCUCAAACCACUAAGACCAUCAUACUCUGAGCUUGUCUCACAACUUCAAAGCCUUGAUCAAAGACGAAAUUGGUUCUCAAACCAUGCAAAUGCCACCCAUGCACUCACCCCUCAAAUGGCCUUCUAUGGACAACAACAACAAAGAUUUCCACAAUCCUCCAUAGGAUAUCAAGGCAACAAACAAACAUUCACUUCAACAUGAAGAGGAUUCCAAGCACAACAAUCAAAGAACCAAAACCGUGGCUACUCCCUUAGCCCAACAUCCAGUUCUCAACAAAGAUGACCCCCCACCCCCCACCCCCCACCUGGAGAGCGACGUAUGACACCUACUAAAAAAGACCUUUAUCGUGAAGAAAAAUGUCAAUACUGUGGCAUGGUAGGACAUAUUGCAAAAAUAUGUUGGUGGGUGCCCAAAAGGCCUACACAACAAGAUGACAUACCACAAGCACUGGCAGCACUUACCUUGGAUAAUAUAAUUGCUUAAACGGAAUGGACCUCAGACACAGGAGCCUCAAAUCACAUGACCGUAAGCAAGGUAUGUUAACUAAUAUUUGAAAUUAUUCUGGUUCAGAUUCAGUUCUUAUUGGUGAUGGAUCUUCUCUACCAAUUCUUGGUAUUAGAGAUUCUAGCAUUAAGCAGAAGAAUAAAGUCUUAUCGCUUCAUGAUGUUUUGCUAGUCUCUCAUUUAAAAAAAAAUCUUCUCUCCGUAAGUCAACUAACAACUCAGUUUCUUGUUAAUUGUGAAUUCACUAAUGUUGAUUUUUGUGUAAAGGAACGACAAACAGGACAACCAAUGAUCACAUAGAGACGCAACGGUGAUCUCUAUGUGCUUCCCAACUCGUCGGAGCUCUAUUUUUCUCAUCGUUUCAAAUCCGGUUCCGCAGACAUUUGGCAUCAACGUUUAGGACAUCCCCAGUUUCUGCUUUACAAUUUUUAAAAAAUAAAGGGUUGAUUGAUGUUAUUGGCAAUGUCAAAUCCGAACAUAUUUGUGACAGUUGCCAAUUAGGGAAGCUUAAUAGAUUACCUUUUUCUUGUUCUAAAAAUCUAAGUUCUAGCAUUUUUGAAAAAAAUCCAUUGUGAUUUGUGGGGACCUGCUCUUAUUUUAUCUAUUGGAAAAUUCAGAUAUUAUGCAUGUUUAGUUGGUGACUUUUCCAAGUAUACUUGGAUAAUUCCCUUACAACAUAAAUCUGAUUUUGUAAAUGCUUACUUAGCUUUUGAACAAUAUGUCAACAGACAAUUUAACAAAAAGAUCAAGGUCUUGCACUCGGAUGGAGGGGGAGAAUUCAUAAACUUCAAGUUAUCAUCUCACUUCCUCUCUAUCGGAAUUAUACAUUAGGUAUCAUGUCCAUAUACUCCAGAGCAAACAAGUAUGGUUGAAAGGCGACAUACGAUAAUAUGAGAACUUGGAAUGACCAUGUUAUUUCAUAGUGAAGCUCCUCUAUUUCUAUGGGUAGAAGCUUUUUCUUCAAUUGAUUGGCACCACUCACAAGUUUUUGAUAAAGGAGUAUUUUGAGCAUCAAAGUACAACUUACCUCUCAAGUUCCCAUAUGACACCAUAAAGUUUGAAAUAUUUUAGCUGAAAUUGGGGUCGAGAGAUAAUCAGAUGUCAAAAUCCCUUUGUCAUAACCUGAAGUUUCUAAUGGUGGCAGAAGCUCAAAUUUGAGAAGUAUAAGAAACCUUGAGAUUUGGUCUAAUUGAUACUGGGGGGUUUGAUAUUAAUGAAGAAAGCAACUAAAUAAGGAAAGCAAAGAAUCAUGAACUGGUUCAUUUAGAUGCUGCUGCUGUGCAGCUGGCAUCAAGAAGGGCAUGACAAUUGGCAAGCAUUUGGGCUUGAGGUGGCCAGUUACCUUUAGUUAUCUGAGCGUCUGCAAAAUCUUGUAUCCAUGCGGACAACAACGACAACCUUUCCUCCUGCACAAUCUUCAGACCAGCAAUGUUCUUCAAUAUGCUGAUCAAGAUAUCAAGCCAACCUAACGCAAGAUCAACAAAUCUGAUGGUCUGUCCUCCUGCCACAAAUUCUGCACUUAUUGUUCCUAGACUAUCCAGCACAGGCAGCAGCAUGCAUGUGUUAAAAAUGUGGGGAAGGCCAAAUCUGACCAUAUGGCCCACCUUCUUUCUCUCAGGAGAUGCAUGGCCACCUUUGGUGAGCCAUUCUUAAAACAAGUGGAUGUUUCAUUUCUUAAGUUCUCCAUCUUUGCUUUCAAAAAUUGAUUUUCAAAAAUUUGAUUUUCAAGUAGUUUUCUUUUACUCCUUAAUCUUUUCAUUAUUUUAUUUUAUUUUAUUAUUUCAUUUUGUCAUUUUAUUUUAUUAUUUUUUAUUAUUAUUUAUUUUAUUAUUUUUUUCUUAGUAAUCUUAAAGUCAAUAAAAUCCCUUUUAAAUAAAAUUUGCUUCCACUUUCUAUUCGGCAAGCAAUUUUCUAAUCUUUCUUGGUCUUUUAAAAUAUUUUGAAAAUAAGCGUGAAUUUAAUCCCGUGAUUCCGAGUAAUGGAUUUAUUGGAAUUAAUUCAUACAAAAUAAAAUGGGCUUUGAUGGGGGCCCAACAUUAUUGGAUGUUUCCUUUGAAAAUCAAUUUGAUUGAAUUGUGAUAUAUGACGACUUCGUACUCGAUUUAGUGGCAUGUGAGCUAUGUUUUAUGUCCAUUAUUUGUGCACUAACCUCAUUUCUUGAUAGCUCAUUUUGGCUCGUUGCCCAGAUACGUAUCUACUCGAAUCCUAGUCAUUCUCUGUGCAUGUUUUGACUCUCAUACGUGCAUGAUCGUUCUGGGUAUUCAUUGAUUUACUUAUCAAUUGUCAUGAUUGAUUCAUUUUAUUAGUAGAGACCCGACUUUAGGGACUUAGAGGGGUGCUACAGUCUUUACUGUACCUUUCCGAUAAGUAACCUGACUCCCGAGCCCGAUCUAGUUUUUCAUUGACCACCUUUUUCAAAAUAAGGAGUCACACUUAGGGUUUUCUUUUUUAAUUUGUUUACCCUUUUAAAAUAAAACAAAAAUAAGUGGCGACUCCAAUUCUUUUUCUAACAAAUAAAUCAUUUUCUCAAAAUAAAAAUCGAGCUCGCCAUCGAGUGGAAGCGCAUGAGCCGAAAUGCGGGGUCCACAAUAAUGUUAUGAUUUUGUGAAAACAUUAAAAAUGGCAAUAUGCUAGUAUUCUAUAUCAUAUAUACCCUUUCUAAGGACCAUUUAUUUAGAUAAUUUAACUAUAACUUUUAGUUUAUAAACUCUUAUAAUAAUAAAUUUUGAAUAUUAUGAGGAUGGAAACUUAAGUCAACAAAUAUAGAAGUAUAUUUUAGCUUUGCAAACACAAGAGUGUAGAAUAGUUGAAUUCACAUGGAGUGGUACAAAUAUGUUAAAGAUCAAAUAAGUGGACGGGGUUUGGAUACUCUCCACCUUUUUUUUCAAGGAAAAGAAAGAUGUUUGGGUUCAAUUAUGGAUUUAGGGUUUUUUUUUUUUUAACAUUUUAAUUAUGUAGUAUUUGAGUGUUUAGCUAGGUUGGCAAUUCCGAACAAAAUUCCUAAGUGUCGUCUAACUCGGUUUUUACAAUCCUUCUUUGGACUAUUUACUUAAUGAAGAUAAAGUUGUUGAAUUUGUUAAGAGACAAAGUUAUGUAGUUGAGAUUGGAGUUGAAGUUGGAUGAAAUUUGAAUCAACCACAUUUUCAAAAUGUUGAUUGUCUUGGAACAUUUUAAAAGAGUUAGGGAAGCAUGAGAAAAAUAUUUUUGCUAAAAGAUUUUUGUUCCCCUGUUUCUAGAUCGAUCCAAGUGUAAGGGUAGAUCGAUCCAAAUAACCUCUUUUUGAGAUUAGUUUUCAGCCAUUAGAUUAAGGGUUUCUUUUCCCUUUUAAAUACAAAUUUAUCCCCUUUUUGGAAACUAAGAAAUUGUAGCAGUCAUUCUUGUGCUCCUUAUUCCCUUCUCUCUUUGAGGUUGCUUGUUUUCCAAUAAAAUUUCAUUCAAGUUUUCAGCCAAAUUUUCAAUGGAUUUUCUUAAGAAAGAAUGGGAUGAUUUUUCAUUCAUUAAUCUCUCAAUUUUGAAUCUAUUUAGGUUUGUGUAAAAACAAAUUUUCUUCUUGUGUGGAUUCAAGAAGAGCCCAAGAUUGAGCUUGAUGUGGACUCCAAGUGUGCUUUGGAAGAAGAAGGUGAGAAGUUGAAAGUGAAAGGUACUAGUCAAGUGGUCUAGAAAGGAUUGGUAGAUUUGAACUAAGUAAAAUCCUGUAUUCGGUUUUUGUUCUUCAUAGUGGACGUUUUUUAUCAGUUGUUGGUCCGUGGUUUUUUAUCUCUUCGAAGGUUUUCCAUGUUAAAAUUUGGUCUCAUUGUCUCUCAUUCUCCUCUUCAUUUCAAUUUCAGUUUUAGCUAUCUUUGAUAAUCUGGACAUCUAAUUUUUGGUUGAAUGUUGAGGUAAAAUAGAUAUGUGUUAACUUUAAUGUUGUCUUUGAAUAUUGUUCAUAGGUAUAUUUGAGAUAUUUUGCUCUUGUUAUUAAUAAAAAAAUUGUUCUAAGUUUUUGUGUUGGGGAGUGUUGGAACAUGUGCAUAUGAAUUGCAUUUUAUUCUUGUUAGGAGUGUUGUUGCAUUCAUAUUUGCAUGUGAUUUCUGAUUUGUGUUUUUAAGUGUUUGUAAAGAGAAGGAAAAAUUGUAAAAAUUGUUAAGGUUAGUUAACUUAUGUUGGGAGACCUUAAAUUGGACAAAACACCUAUUCACACCCCUCCCCUCCUGUAGGUGUAUUCUAUAAUUGAGACUCACCUUUCAUAGUAAAAUUAUUACAUUUUAAUUAUUAUUUGAGUAAAAAAAAAAAUAGCUUCUAAAUUCCUUACAAGACUCUUAAAAAUAUUUUUAAAAUUGGCUACAAGUUUGAAUACUCUAAAUAAUUAUAGAAAUAACAAAAACAUUGAUGGAUAAAAAUUUUAUGAAGUCAAAUUUUAUGAGAAAAAUGAUUACUUUUCAAGUUAAAAAUAAAUAAAUAAAAAUUAAUAAUAAAAUAAAAGAUUAUCAUAUGAUACUAAAAAUUUGUUUUUGGCUGUCAUUCAUAUUAUAACAUAUUACAAAUCAACAAAAUAAUCUUAUUUCUUUGUAUAUUAUUACACAUAUCAACCAAUAAAGAAUAAAAUAAUCUAAUUUCUUUUCUCUCUUGUUAUACAUAUCAAUUACUUAUAUUUGAAUUUUGUUAUGCCACUCAUGCAUUUGGAACCUUAGAAUUUUCUUAAAAUAAAACAAAAAUAAAAAAUAUGAACAAAAGAGAUAUUUGUAUUUAAUCUUGUAACGUUGCCCUACUGAUGACAUGUAACGAUCAAUUGACGCAUAACGGUCAUUUACUUGUGGCGGCUUACUGCCCGACCAAGUUUUGGUCAAGUGGGACCACUUGGACCGACUUUAUUUGGGUUGCCUACCUAACUAUCUGACUAUUUGGGUACCCCCAUAUCCUAUAAUUGAAAUUUCAUGAAAUAAUUUAUUAGAAGAACAUAUUAACAAAUCCCAUUAAAGCUUCAUGAAAUAUAUUUCCAACGUAACUACAUGAAUCACAUUUAUAGAUCACAGAAAACAUUUGUCACACGAGAAGUUCUUUAGAAUGGUGAUUAAUUUUUGCUUCUGAAACAGUCUAGGAACUAGAGAUGGAGGUGUCAUUACACUGUUAUAAAUAGCAAGCUUUGAUGUCCUCCUUGAACUUUUCACAUUGUUGUGCCCUAUUCAAGUCUCUCUCUUGGUGCUACACUUGCCAUGGUAUUGCGUCCAUGGCUCACCAAGUCAUCUCCUUGCCCAAGGCAUUGAGCCCUUGUGCCACCUUGCUAUAAUCCUAGAUCACUCAUGAGGCCUUAGUGCCGAAUGGUCCUUGUCAAGGGCUAACCAUAGUUAAAUCCAUGUGAACUUACAAGAAAUGCCUGUGGCAUAUAUGUGAAUAGAACAUAUCAAAAAUCUAUCUUUGUUGAAGUACUUUUUAUGAUAGUUUCCAUUGCUACUUUAUCAUAUCAAUAUAAUUUUUUUUAGACAAUUAUAUUUAAAGUCUGUUUGACAUUGAUUAUAGGAAGUGUUUUUAACCUAAAAGUUUUCUUUCAAAAAAAUUAAAAGUGUGUUUAAAAGUGAUUUUAAAAAGUGUUUCUAGCAUUUCUAAUACUUAAAUAAUAAAAAAUUUCAAGUAUUAAAACUGUUUCCUAGAAUUACUACCAAAUGAACUUUAAGUAUUAGCAAUUCAGGAAACACUUCCAAAAAUUUAAAAAAUUACUUAGUAGUAUUUUCUAAAGAAACACUUCAUAAGUGAUUUUCAUUAAAAAAAGAAAAUAUUUCACUAAAAAUACUUUAAGUAAAAAUACUACUAAACACACUCUUACACUCUUAUUAUGUUUUAUUAAAACAAUAUGGCAGUGCCCAGAUAUGAAGAAGAUGAAGCUAAUUAGCAAUAGAUGCUCAAAAUGAAUUUUAAACAUUUUACAAUUCAUCGAAAUUUCAGAAAUACAUGGACUUACAAAAAGGCUCUUCAUGAGAAGAUAUUCCACGUUCUCUACGGAAAGUUUGGUGCCCUCUGCAAUGAUAUUCAAUGGAAUGGUACCAUCUUCUGAAGGACGGCUGCAAGAUACAAUAUAUCAGUUGAAUUCAGCAAUAACUUUCUGAAUCUUGCCCUGCAAUCACAAGUAAAACGAUAUUGUUAACAUACCUGAAGAUGACAUCCAUCAAGCAGAGAAUGAUUUCUAGUAGCUUCUUCUAAUUCUGAACCAAUGUCGGUUGAGAACUCGGCAGCAUUAUGGACGCGGCAUAAUUCUUGAUAGCAGAGUAAAUCAUCAUAGUUGGAUGCCUGGAGUAUCUAGUAGAGCCGCUCAACCUUUUUCCCCAGGAAACUUUCUAUCUGUAGGAGUUGGUAAAACAUCUGGCUCCAAUGAAGACAUUGUGCAGUUCUCUUUCGGUAAAUCAUCAGGCGCAAUAGCUCGCUGGGCCUAGGGAUGAUUGCUGCAGAAUUCUUAACGGAUUAGAAUUGAAGCAUCCAGUCAACACCAAAGGAUUAAAUAUGAUAAAGCUCAAAAUUCCACCAUUACUCGAAGCCUGUAAAAUACACUUGACCCAACAACUGCAGGAAAUACUGUGAGGGUUGUUUCCGGAAUAAGGUUGAGCUGAAGGUGUUUUACGACUCUGUUGGACCAUCAUCCCCAGGGAGGCCAAAUAUGUGGAGGUUCCGUUCCAUCGAUCCCACAGCCAAGUAUUUUGCACCUAUCUGGACCAAAUUUUACUCGAGUUGUUUUGCCUGCAUGCAGGACCAGAAGAAGUGGGGAAACCAAAUUUUCUUAUGAUUUAGUACUAUAUGUGCUCCUCGCCAAAGUGUUAGUAUUCUACCGUAUAUGAGAACAAACAAAAAAAGCUCAGAAUUGCGGGGAAAAAAAUUAUAUAAAGGGCAACAAUAAAUCAAUAGCAACAAUAAAUCAAUAAUCCAAAAACUAAAAGCAUAGAGAGGGAGGAAUUAUAGACCUCAAUAAUGAAGAGAUUAUAGACAACAAACAAAAAUGAAAGAAAGCAUAUAGGUUCACGAGAACGAUGAAAUUAAUAUGUAUAUAUAUAUAUAUAUAUAUAUAUAUAUUCAAUUGAGCUCCCUUUCCAUAUGCGUCAACUAUCGAUAAGCCAUACACAUUGAUCUCUCAAAUAUUGAACCAAUUUGAGUAAGUUCUCAACAUUAUCUAAAUUUUGGACAGAAAACACAAAGCAAGUUAUGAUUUAUUGGCAAAUGAUUGGUCGUUAAUGAUAACAAGCAUGAAAUAAAUUUCAAAACUAAUCUAAUUAUUCAACAAACAUGCACACUGAACUUAAAUAACAUUAUUAAUUUUUUCAAAAGUAAUUGGUUGACAUAAUUAUAAGCACAUUCAUCCAAAAAUAUUAAAUUAACUCACAAUUCAAAACCAUGGAGAAGGUUUGCCUAACAUGGAAUCUAUUUAAGAUUUCAAAUCUUCAGUAAACUAAUUUUGCAUCAGAAAAACAAAAACAGAGGGCAACAAUUUUAGAAGACUGACAGUAUAAUGAUAAAAAAAUGGUCAUAAAAAAUGGAGGGAUUGCAUUCCUGAAAAAUAUUAUAGAUGACAUGUUUGAAUGAAAGAACAUAGUAGUCCUCUUGACGUCUUUCAAUAAGUAUAACAUUCUGAUUUUCAUGUCACUUACUCUGGCAAUGGUACUCCCUUUCAAAGUACUUUUUCAAACUAUUGAGUCUGGCUACUUCAGAUAUGAAAAGAAUAGUGCUACCUUCAAUGGUCAUUGCAAACCAUUUAGGUUCCCGAGCUUGAGAAGCUUCAAAGAUGGGAAUUAACCAAUCUCAUGUUUUACUCAUUUCAGCAGUAUAUGCUGCUCACUCAACUCUCAGCUAUAGACCACACAUGGGCAUAAAAAAAUCAACAUUGCAAGCAGAGUAUGACACUUCUAACAAACUGAUUGCGAAGUAAUAAACAAUAAAGGGAUCAAAAGCAUAAACCUAACUAGAAAGAAUGGUUGUGACCAGUAACAAAAACUGAGGGCUAAGGUCGGUGAUGCAAUUGAGAUAACCCUUUUCAUAUUCAUCCACCAUCCAUAACUGGACAACAUUUGUCUCUGGAACAUUGAAGGGCUCAAACAGCAUAAUUGCAUUGUCAUGGUAGCUCAAGCACUCACAAAUAGCAUGGAAAACAAUUCUCUUUUGCUUGUGUACCCAACUGUACAAUUAAAAAUGAAAGAAAAGGCAGAAGUAGAGGAAAUAUUAAUCUAUCAGUGUCUGUCUCCAGCCUAUUAAUCAUGAUGAAUAUUACCAGAAUAAUGUAAUAUUUGUAACUGACGGGUUCUAAAACAAUAAACAUGAACCGAAAAAUGUAGGAAGAGAGGUUCGCAGUGAAAACCUGGAAUUGUGGAAGACUCACUCAAAUUAAAAGAGACCAGUGAGUCCUUCAUGCACCAGCCAUCCAUUACUUGUCAAUAGAAAUUUGUCCUUUUCCUUUUGGCAUCUUCUCCUUAUGUAUUAAGGGAUUUUGAGGCUAUGUAGAGUGCCAAUGGAUUGUUACCUUCCAGUGGUGUCAAGCCACCAAUCCAUAUGGUUACGAGGCUUCCCUUUGAAUUGUGUGCCACUGUCAUCAUCCUCAUUCUCAAACAGAUGUUCUUCUUAGCGGCUGUGACAUGCUGAAUAUGUUGAAACAGAGACAUUGUUCUCUGCACAGACAGUUUAAAGUCUUGGAGAGAAGGGAGGUGUCACAGUCCCACCUCAAGCAGAGAUAUUUGGAGACUUCCAUGAAGACAAGGCCAAUGUGAACUCCAAUCAGCUUUAGUUCCUCACUAUUUUGAAGAUGCAAAAUUUUCAAAAACUUAGUGAUCUAUGCAUUUAUUCGAACAUAUAGACAGUAACAUUAUAAAAAUUGAAGCUGUUAAAAGCAGGACAGAAUAUUGGAUUGCAAACCUGAAAUUUGUUGUAGAUGACAUGCUUCAAUUGAAGAACAGAAAUCCUAUUAAAUCAGGUACCAUAGCUAGUCAAUAUCAAUUUCAGGAAAGUUGAAGUGUUGAGUGACACAUUCCUUCCGGCAGUGAUUUCAAUUCCAGGCCAACAACAUUUUCAAGCUCAUUAAGAGAUGUCAGGCUGUCUUCUAGUCCGGUAAAGUUACAAAACAAGAGAAAUUGAUGAUUUUAAGGAUUUCCAGAAUGUUACCAUUUCCAAGCUCCAAUAGCGGAAGCAUCAACUCAUUAUUCGACAAAAAAAGCUCUUUGCAACAUUUAUUCCACCUCUCAAAGGUGAUUAAAUGUUGCAUCCACUGAUAGAGAUGUCCAAGCCCCACCAUUAUCCCUUUUUACAUUGAAUUUACACCAAUUACAUCUGCAAGAAAAUAGUUAACCUGAGAAACUUCCAAACACAAAUUGCAAGAUCAUUUUAGCAAAACAGAACUAGGAAUUGAUAUCUUUAAAGAUACAUUUUCAAACUUUACUAACUACAAGCAUGCUUUCAGGCCACAAAGGUUCAACUAAAUUAUAAUAUUAAUGGAACAUUGCAUUUUCUCUAUGCUAACUCUAUCAAUGGUUGACAUAAUAAUCAAGUGUUUUUGUCUAUGCUAAUACAUACACAGCAUAGAGAAGACAAGGAGUGUAGAAAAUCAAUGAUGAUGUAGUCAUCAAUAGUGGGAGAAGGAUUACCUGAAUUGAAAAGAAAGCAAAAUUCAUUUCUGCAUGAAUCAUCUAAGAGUAUAAAUUUUUGGGCCAUGUGAAAUUUUAGGCAAAUUCAAGACUGAUCCCCCUUUGGGCUUUAGGCCAAUGAAUAAUCUCGAGUUUCGAAUUUGCAAGAAAUAGUAACUAAAUCAACCCUAGUGUUUUCCAAAAAUCUUAGGAUGUAAAAAUUAAAGUAACAUGAUUACCUUGGUCCUCAAUUACCAAUUAAGAACUUGUCUAAUUGUACAUUGAUUGGAAGAUGCAACAUUUUCAUACUCAGUGAUCUAAGCAUUUUUCCAAAUAGACUGGGGAAAAAAAAUGAUAAAAAUUGAAGCUAUUAAAAACAGGAAGAAACAUUGGAUUGCAAACCUGAAAUACAUUAUAGAGGACAUGCUUGAAUUAUAGAACAGAAAUCCUUUAUGAAUCAGCCAACCAUGUCAAUUUCGAGAACAUUGAAGUGCUGAGGGGACACAUCCCCCUCUGGCAGUGAUUUCAAUUUAAGGCUGACAGCAUUCUGAAGCUCAUUAAGAGAGGUCGGGUUGUUUAUUCAGUCUGAUAAAGCUGCUAAACAAGAACAGUUGAUGUGAGGUUACCAAUACAGUCUAGUAAUGUUGUCAAACUAGAAUGAUCCCAAAUUGUGAGUCUUUGUAGAGUGCUGAGGGAAUCCAUCUCGUCUAGUGGUGAUAUCAAUUGAGGGCAAGAAUGAAUUCAGAGCUCUACAAGUAAUGUGAGUCUGCUUAUCCAGCCUGGGAAUGUUGUCAAUUCAGAACAGAGAAGAGAGCCUGUCCCUCAGCAAGUGAGCAAAGCCUUUCCUAUUUCACCAGCUCUCAAUAGCCUAUCAAGAUAUAUCAGGAGGCAUGGGCAAUAUUAAGCUUAUCUUCACCAUCACCUUCUUUUGCAUUAUCUUGAAAACUAUUAACACCUGUAACAAAAUAUUUAGUUUAAGAAAGCUUCCAAAUGUAUAGAAAGCAAAGAUGAGAUAAGAAAAUCAUUUCAACAAACAUAUUUCGUUUCAUGUCUCAAACUAUUAAGAGUACUUUCAGGAAUGAGAAAAAUGAUGCUACAAAUUGCCUUUUAGUGAAAGUAAAGAUGAUCUCAAUACCAUUAUUGCUUUAGUCCAUAGCAUUUUAAUUCAAAGGUCAACAAGCCUGACAUAAAGGGUGACCAGAUUGUCAUAUGAUUCAAUAAGAUGCACUCCUUGUGCAAAUUGUUGGUUUCUACUACAUAUGAAAAUUAGAAAAAUCAAAACUCAAACAGAAUGUGAAAGUCUUUAACAAAUUGAAUGGGAAGUAAUAAAUUAGCAAUCAACAGUUUUAACAUGUAAAAAGCAAAGGCCAACAACGUAGAUUCACANNNNNNNNNNNNNNNNNNNNNNNNNNNNNNNNNNNNNNNNNNNNNNNNNNNNNNNNNNNNNNNNNNNNNNNNNNNNNNNNNNNNNNNNNNNNNNNNNNNNUUUUGGAAAAAAAAAAUUUUUCUCAAUCCCUUUUUUUUUUUGGCCCAUACCUUUUAAUUUAAAGGGCCACAAACCUAAAAAAAAGGGGGCCCCAAUUUUUCAUUGGUUCAAAAAAAACCCCCCCUUGGGAAAAUUUUUUGUUUUUUCCUAAUUAAAAAAUUAAAAAAAACAAAACCCAAACCAAAUUGGAAAGUUUUUAAAAAAUUUAAGGGGAAAUAAAAAAUUUGCCACCCACCUUUUUAAAAUGUAAAAAACAAAGGCCCACCAGGGAAUUUUAACACCCCCCCCCCCCCCCCCCCCCCCCCCCCCCCCCGCCCCCCCCUUUAUACAUGCUAGUGCAUAUGAGAAUUAGGAAAACAAAAUUUUAAACGAAGUAUUCAAACUCUUAGAAGAUUGAUUGUAUAAUAAAUGAAAUCUUCAAAAACAGGAGAAAUGUUUUAUUACAAACCUGAAUUUCUAGUCGACAUCAAUUGUGGGAACUUGAGAAAUUUCAGGAGGUCAGUCUUCGGCAUGUUUCUAAGCAUAGAUAAUAGGCUCACAGCGCAUAUUAGGGUAGUCAACAACUGAAGGCCAAACCGUAGAGAUAGCUUGUGAGGCUUCAAGGGUAGUGAUUAGGAAUCACUUGAGACAGACACAUUAGGACACAACAGCUUUGAAUUUUUAAUAGCUUGAGAAAAGUGAGGUGUGGAAUCAUUGCAAAAGAUAAUCCUAGCUUUCCAGUUACUGAAGGGAAAUGAGGUGUUUCAGCCACAAUGCUAUCUGCUUUUGCUUACAACACUAUCAGCCACAAAGCCAUUUCAGGGAAAUGAAGAAUUAUCACAAAUCUCUUAAAUAAGGUGAAUCUUCUAUGAGAUAUUAACAAUAUUAAGGUCAUUGAAUUAUAAUUUUAUGCCAUCAUUAGCAAUUGAAUUGAAGAGCAAAACUUCCAAACUUCCUCAUUUAAGCAUUUUAUCUAAAGGAGAAGGUGUACGUUUCAUACCUGAAAUGGCUUUCUGCAUCAAACCCGUCAUCCACUUUUAUUCGGACAUGAGCAAUCUUGGGCCAGUCUUCACCUUUUUCCCUUUGGCAUCUUUUAGAUAAGUAUGGACAUUCGGAGAUUUCGAGUAGGUAGAGGGUUGUGAGGGAACGCAUCUCUUCUGGCAGUGAUGUCAAUUUAGGGCAUUUACGAAUUUGAAGGUAUUCAAGUGAUGAGAGGCUACCUAUCCAAGCUGGUAAUGUUGUCAAACUAGACCAGUCGUGAAUUGUGAGACUCUUGAGGAUUCUAAGACAAUGCAAUUCUUCUGGCAAUGAAGUCAAUUCAGGACAAGUACCAAUUUCAAGAUCAGUCAGCGAGGUGAGGCCGCCUAUCCAGCUUGGUAAUGAUGCCAAACCACAAGAGUAGUCAAUUGAGAGUGUGUGUAGGGCAGUGAGGGAAUGCAUCUCUUGGGGUAAUGAUGUCAAUUUAGGACAAUUUGUGAUUCGAAGGUGUGUAAGCGAGGUGAGGUUGCCUAUCCAAUGUGGUAAUGUUGCAAAAUGAGAGCAGUCCCCAAUUUUGAGAGUUUGAAGAGUGGAAAUAUGUUGAUGAAGCUCAUCUGGGAGAGACAUCAAAUCAUCUAUGUCUUGAAUCCUCACAGACUUCAAUGAAGAAGCAGUGGCCGACAUUAACUCCCGCAAUACCCCCUCUUUCACUUCAUUCAGACACAGACUCUCAAGGCAAGGUAAGGAAGACAGUUUCAAGGAUGUGGGCUUAAGGCAAUGGGAGAUGUAUAAACUAGAAAGAAGAUGAGAUGAAUGCAGUUCCAAGGAUGCCAAGUCACCACAAUACCUAAUCUCUAAUUGUGAAAGAAGAGGAGAUGAAGGUAGUAGUAAGGAUGUCAACUUAGGGCAAAAGGUGAUUUCUAUACUAGAAACACAAGGAGACGGAUACAAUUCUAAGGAUGCCAAGUCAUCACACUUCUUGAUCAGCAAUAGUGAAAGACAAGGAAAUGAAGGAGGUGAUUGUGUUGCUGAGUCCCUCCUCCAUAAUUCCUUCAACUUUGGCAUAGAACUCAGAUAGAGAUUUUGAAGAGAUGGGAAGAAUGGCCCUUCUGAUGAACACUCCAUGUACUCCACCUUUCCCAGAUGAUGAAGCUUCAGAGACUUGAGGUGACGGAGUCGAACAAUGCAUGGUAGAGUCUGACAUCCUAAACAUGAUGCCAAAUAAAUUGUGGUGAGGUUAGGGAGCAUGGUACUCAAUUCACCAUUCAUCAUCCAACGUGGAAAUCCCUUACCUCCAUAUCCUAUUAUAAAGAGAUCCUUUAGGUUUCGAUGUGGUUGGAGGCCUACCAUCACUGACUCAGCAUCCUCACCUGACUGUUCUUCUUGACCAUAUGACCAUUCUAAUCCCAAGGACUCAAUGUAUUGUUUUUCGACCAAAUUUGCUUCCCUGGAUUCUACCUUAGCAUCCAUCACGUUUUCAAGCUUUUCAAUCCACAAUUCUCCUCUGAGGUUGUUCAGCAUUUUUAAUUCACUCAAUCUGCCAACUUUACUCCCAGUUCCAACAACAAACAGUGGUAGGCUUUCAAGCAAAGAUAACUCUCCCAUCCCACAUGUCAUAUGAGUCAAACUCCCACACCCUUGAUUCUCCAAGUGCCUAAGAUUAAUCAAUCUCCUCAUAUCCUUGGGAAAUUUUUUUACAUGCCCACAAUUAAUAAGUUUUAAUGUUUGCAAAUUAUAUAACCAUGUAAUAGCAUUUGGGAGUACCUUGAAAUUAUUAUAUGAAAGAUCGAGAUAUCUUAAAUGACUCAUUUUGCCUAAAGAUUUCGACACCUUUUUUACACUGAAUCCAUGUAGGCUCAACACACGUAAACUCUUAAAAUUUGGAAUAAGAGUACGCACAACUGAAUCAUUUUUAGAAUAUCUAUUAACAUUCAACAUGGUCCUUAUGUGUUUUAGCUUCAAAUCCUUCCCCGUAAGAUUCAACGAAUUAGAGAAUGAAACGUGAUAAACUCUUUCCAAGAUCUCCUUCACAUUAUUUCCUAAACAAAGGACCUCAAAUCCAACAACUGAUUGUGCAAGAUCAUGUAUAAGAUCAUGCAUUUUGUAAUAUGAUGUAUUAUCAUAUGCAUCUUUUGUAACCUCCUCCAAUAAUGAUCUUGACAACAAUUCCUCAAAAUACCGGUUUCCUACCCCUGAAGCUUGAAUAUACCCCUGUGCCAUCCAUAAUUGUACCAACACUUUUUUCUCAAUUUCAUAGUCUUUUGGAAAUAACGCACAAUAACCAAAACAUUGCUUCAAAUGGAAUGGUAGAGCAUCAUAGCUUAACUUGAGCACUGAUAAAACACUAUCAUUAUUUUCACCUUCCAAUAACAACAAAUUUUUGUUGUUUUUAAUGGACAACCACAUACUUUCUUCAGUUUUAAUGCGCAAUAUUGCUCCUAGUGUUUUGAGGAUAAGAGGAACUCCUUUACACAUAUUUACAAUUUCUUUUCCAAUUUCUACAAGGCUUGGAUACAGUCUUUCUUGUCCUUCUUCAAAUGCUAUUUUUAAAAAUAAAUUCCAAGACUGAUUUUCUUUCAAACCUUUCAAAGAAAAAGGAAAAUGAUCAAUACCCAUAGUUGAUGCAACGUUUCUAUUUCGGGUGGUUACUAGAAUCCUACUCCCUUUAUCACCAACCAUCAACAAGGUCCUCAAUUCCUCCCAUUUUUGGAAGUCAUCAUUCCAAACAUCAUCAAGUACUAGCAAGUAUCUCUUCUGCCUUAUUUUUUCAUGCAAGGAAUCUUUCAAAACGUUUAAUGACCCCAAAUCUACAUCUCCACCACUUAAAGAUUCCAAAAUUUUUUUAACCAGCAACUUUACAUCAAAAUCAUCAGAAACACAAAUCCAUAUCUUAGGCUGAAAAAAGUCUGCUACUCUCAUAUCAUUAUAUACCAGCUGAGCAAGGGCGGUCUUACCCAAACCCCCAAUUCCAAUAAUGGCUACAGCAGAAAGAUUUUUUUCAUUCCCUGAUGACACCAACAAUUUUAUUAUCUCCUCUUUGUCUUCAUCUCUUCCCACCAUUUCAGAGGUCAACACAAAUGAGUGAGUCUCUCUCCGACUACUCUCUACCUCCCUCUGAACUACUUUCCCUUGAAUAAGUUUUAGCAUAGGGAUUUCUUUCACAAUUUCUUCAACCUCUUCUUUGAUAUCCUUGAGUCUAUCACUCAUCUUAAAACGAAGUACUACUUGAUUGGAAGAUGAGAAGAAGUCACUGACCUGCCUUGCUACUCCUCCACGCUGCAGCUGAAGCAUCUCAAAGUCAUCCAACAAGUCAUCAGCAUCAUACACAACAUCUUUGAGCCUCCUCACCCAAGCUUUUACUGCAUCGCUCUCCUCCUGCCUCUUCUCAGCAUCAACCAGUACACCUUUGAUGGUGUCCAGCUUCUUCGUAAGCUUCGUUAACUCUUUUGUCACACCAAACGCAGAUCCAAUUUGUUGAAAAGCCGAGGAGCCCAACUUGGUUAAAACGUCAGCUAUAGUACUGAAUGGGAUUUGUUCAGCCAUUUUGGAAGAACUCAAAGUACAGAACGCCAACAGAGUAUGGUAAGAGAAUGAGAAAUUGAGAGAAUUGUAAGAGAGAAUACCACCAGACAAGUAGCGAUGAUAUACACAGGGCUAGUGGGAGGAUAAUAGAAGUACUCAGAUGCAGUGGGGCUAUUAUAUAAUAAUGAGACACAUGCUCUUCAAAUUUAUGAUUUUUAGGCAUGCAUUUUUACAUCACACUAUGACAUUAUUUCAUAUUGAUUAGUUACACUCCUAUUAAGGAUGAAUUAAAAUUAUAUAUAUAUAUUGAUGAUUGAAUUUUAUGCCUUAUGAAACAUUAAAAAUGUUUUCAAAAAUAAGCAAUAAAGUAAUAAUACUGAAGUACAUGAUAAAUCACAUAAAAUUAUAUCCAAUGAAAUCAAAUAUUUAAGUGGAGAAAAUAGGGUGGUGAACAGAAGAUGGGAUUCCAUUGUACAUUACGUACACAAACAUGUUGAUGGGACCACGGAAGAAAUCGGGAGAAUUGUGUUUUGGAAAGCUUUCAUCCUUCACGUUUAAGCUUAAAACCAAAAAGUGUGAAAAUUAAGAAAAAUAAUAUAAAUUUUUUAUUUUUAUAUAAAUAAUUUUUAUUUACUAAGAAUAUAUAUAUAUAUAUAUAUAUAUGUUAAUUUAAAUUUUAUUUCUUUUAUAUAUCUCCAUAAAAUUUAAUAUAAUUUAGUGAUUUAGAAAAAAAAUACACCCUUUUUCAAACAAAUAAAACUAAAUUAUUAUUAUUAUUAUUAUUUAAAAAUCAAACAUCUUGAAAAAUAUAUUUUUUUGGAAAUUGUAUAUAUAAAAAAUAACUAAAAAUAUGUCAAUUUUUUUUAAAUGAUAUAUUUUUAAAAAAAUUAGUUUUCUAAAAAUAAUAAAUUUUCAAAAUAAUUAUUAAAAAAAUUAAGAUAAAAAAGUUUGUUAAAUAUUAUGGUAGAAAAUAGUUUUAAAAGGUAUUAGUCUUUUCAUAUUUUAUAUCAUUUCUAUCAAUUAUACAACUUAUAUAGAUCAAAACUUAAUUUUUUGGCCCAAUUGGGUUCAAAACACAAUUGUCCCGAAAAAAUUAAGUUUGUGAGAUCUUAUUUUAUUAUUAUUAUUAUUAUUUGACGCAUAUAUCAAUGACAUUUUGACAAAAAUAUUAUUUAUUUUUAAAAUAUUUAGUAAAAUAUGAUAAUUUGUAGCAUUAUUUCCUAAGCUACAAUUUUAUUUUAUUUUAUUUUAAAACUAUCAUCUUAAAAAGCAAUUUCCAUAUUCAACUGAAAAUUCGACUUUCAAUUGAAUUUUUUUCAACUACAAUACAUUUGAAAAUAUUUUUUCAAUUAUAAUAUUUUAAAAAAUAUUUUUUAAAAUUGUGAUAUAUUUUAAAAUCUCAUGUAUUAAUCCCCAUUUAAAAAUUAAGUAAAUGUAAAAUCACAUACAAAAGACAAUGAUUCUUGACCAUAAAUAAGGUUAAUUCUCAAGAAAAUGAUCUUUUUUCAAUUUUGAGUAGGGAUAUGAAAAAGAUAAAUUGAAUUGACCUUGAUCAAAACAAAUCAAUUUGAUUAAAAUUAAAAUUUCAAAUACUGAUUGUUGUGUCUAAUUAAAAUUUCAAAUCAUAAAUAAGGUUAAUACUCUUAUUAAAAUUAAAAUUUCUCUAUAAUGUAUUUAUAUUCACAAGCAAAAGUCAUCUUAUAUAGGAUUUCAAAUACUGCUUGUUGUGUCUAAUUAUUCUCACAAUGAUCAAAAGUGAUAAAUUUUAUGAAUUAAUAAAAAUCUAUAAUUAAUAUGACAUUGGAUUCUCCAAUAUAUAUAUAUAAAGGAAUAAUAUAUUAUAAUAAAGAUGGGAAGAAUGUCAUGCGAAAGUGUGACCUUUACCGGUAUAGCACUAAAUGUUUGACCACUUAAGCCAAGAAAAUAUGAUAAAAUAAUGUCAACUAGCCAACAAAUUGUAAUGAAAUCUCCAACAAGUCUUGGAUAAUCUUUUGGGUUUGAUUCGGUCACUGUAUGAGAAAACAAUUUACUAAAAUACAAAAACCUUUUAGGUGGGUUUAAUAAUUUAGUCAUUACGGACAUCAUAGUCCAAAAUUUAAAAAUACCAAAUUUGACAAGCUUAAAGAAAGACCAUCUAACCAUGAUCAUCGUGAAAGUUGAAACCGACUAAGAAUAUUUUUAGGAGGGAUUGAUUUGAUUAUUGCACGUGAAGAUAAUGUACUGUAAACUAAUCAAUAAAAACAAUAGAGGCUUGAUAUAGAAUAGUACUACCAAGAUUAAAAACCUAUAUAUUAAAAAAUAGCAAAUGGAGAAAGUUUGCUAGCAAUUCCUUCCAACAACUCUCAAAGCUAUCCCAUAACUAAUCGAGAAUCUUUUAAGUUUGAUUUAGUCAUUGCUGACAUCAUAGUUCAAAAAAAUUUAAUAAAGAAAAUUUGACAAGUGUACAAAAUACCACCUAACAGUAAAUAUGAAAAUUCAAACUUACUAAAAAUAUUUUAGAAGAGCUUGAUUUAAACAUUGCAUAAGAAGACAAUACACUAUGAUAAAAUAAAGUAAGAACAACAGAGACUUAAUAAUAGUCUAAAAAUUAAAAAUAAAAAUAAAAAUUAUAUAUUAAAAGAUAACAAAUUGAACAAGUUUAAUAGCCACCUCCUUCCGACAACUAUGAAAGUUUUAACAACUAAUUGAGAAUCUUUUGGGUUUGAUUUGGUAGAAAAUAAUAUACUAAAAACAACUAUUUUUUAGCUGGGUUUAAUUUAGUCAUUGUUGGAUGGCAUGGUUUGAAAUUUUGAAAAAAAAAACAAACAAACAAAUUUGAUAUGCUAAAAAAAGACCAUCCUAAAAUACAAUUAACUAAAAAUAUUUCACUAUGAUAAAAGUAAAAAAAUAAAGAAAAAUUUUAAUAACCUUAUUCUUAUUUAUAAGGUUACAAUCAUAAUAAUUAUAAUAAAUAUUUUUAUGAUAAUUCUGAAGGUUUUGUGAAUAUCUUAAAAGUUUAUUACAAGAAAUGAUGAUAUCUAAAAACUUUUGGACCUAUUUAUAAAUACUCUCCAUUAAAUGUUAACCACUGUAGAAUAUGUAUCACUAAAACAUUAUUAGGUUUUAUUAGGAAAAACCUUGUGAAGAAAAAAAAAAAAAAACUCUAGUGAAAGAAAAAAAGUAUAAUAUUAUUUUCAUAUUUUUGGAUUAUUUCGUCGAAAACCUUGUUAGCAAAAUCCAAUGAGAUAAAACUCGAGCAAAGGAAAAAAGAAUCUAGUAUAUAAGUACCCUUAUUAAUUGGAUCCUCAUCAUAUUAACAUGAUUAUACUUUCUCUAAUUACUCAUCAUGAAGAUCUUAAUUUGAGUCGACACACUUCAAUGUUAUCUAUGAGCUUUUGAAGUGUUGCAAUUGGUAAUGCUUUUGUCAGCAAGUAUGCUAAAUUAUCACUUGACAGUAGGGAUGGCAACGGGGCGGGUUUGGGGUGGGGCGGGGCGGGCGGGUAUGCUACAUUCCCAUACCCGCCCCGUUUAACUUUUUAUUUAAUUUUAAUUUUAAUUUUUUAAAUUACUUUUAAAAUUUUUAAUUAUAUUAAAAUAAAUAUAUUUUAUAAAUAAUUAAAUUAUUUUAUUUUUUAUAACUUAAUUUAUUAAAAAUAAUUUAUUAUUAUCUAUAUAUUAAAAAUAAUAAAAUAAAAAUUAAAUUAAAUUAAUUUUAAAUUUUAAAUUUAAUUUAAUUUUAAUUUUAAUUUUAUAUAUAAUCGGGGCGGGGCAAUACCUGAACCCGCCCUAAACCCGCCCCGAGUUUCAAAAAAAAAUCCCAAACCCGUCUCAUACCCGUCCCAUUGCCAUCCCUAGUUGACAGUGCUCUUCAAGAGCUUAUGAUUGUAGAAGAAUUUGAUGAAAUGCCCUUGGUUUGAUAACCUUUAAUAUAUUAUAUUUUAAUUUGUGGAAUAUAUUCAACAUGAUAUUCAUUUAAUGCUAUUGGAUUGUCUUUGAUAGAGAAUAAUUAACAAGACUCUCAUAUAUCUUGGAUCAUAAAUCUUAACCACACGAGUCUACCAUGCUUCAAGUGCAUCUUACAUUCAUUUGUCAUUAUAAUAAUUAUUUGCCUUAUUAGGAUAUUAAUUAUCUUUAGCACCAAAUAUUUUAUCAUACUUCUAUUGUAUUAGUUAAUUGUCAUGCAAGGACAUCACUUUAUCAUAUUCACUUGUAUAAAAAUUAUCUAAAAAGUUGCAUGUCAUUCUUCUAGAUUGGCUUUCCCAUCCCUAAUAGUGAGAAAAUUGUUUCAUUAAAAUAGAAAUUCUCAAAGCAUGCAUGUCAUACUACCCUUUAGGAGUGUAGAUAAACCAGUCACUAAGAAAUGUCUAAUAUAUAUCCAUAUGAUGUUAACGCAAUGAGUUGAUGUAUAACUAUUCAUCGGGGAUGAAAUGCUUAGUUGUAGGACUGAAACUCAUUAAUUGUCCUUAUAUGUCAUACCUUUAACAAUCAUUUUUAUGGUUUUGCAUAGAUUAUUUUACAAGUAUUUUGUUUUUAAUCAUUUUAUCAAUUUUGAUGGGAAAGUGUAGUCUUCUUUUUGGGAAAACUAUAACAUCCAUAGAUUCAAGAGUUAUUUUAUACCACAAUUCAUAUGAUCACAUUUUUGUCCACUGACACAUUAUGAAAUGGUUACAUUCACUUCUAGUUGGAUAAGACUAGUAAUUUUUCACGAAAAAAUCAUUAUUCUCAUAUGCAUUUAGUUAUAGUGAGCUUUGGGAGGAAUUAUAAUCUUUUGAUGCUUAUAUAUCUCUUUUAUAUUAUUGUAUAGAAUGAAAGUGCUAUUUAAGGCUAUUGAGAUCAUUAUUUUAAGAAUUAAAUUUAUCAAAAAUUCAAUUUUAAUAAAAAAAAAUGUAUAUAAGGGAAUAAUAGAUUAUAACAAAGAUGGGAAGAAUGUCAUGUGAAAGUAUGACGUUCACCCAUAAAAUACUACAUGUGACAAAGCUUAAGCCAAAAAAAUAGGAUAAAAUAAUGUCAACUAGCCAAGAAAUUAAAAUGAAAUCUCCAACAAGUCACUGAUCAUCUUUUAGGUUUGAUUUGGUCAUUGCAAGAGAAAACAAUUUACUAAAAUACAAAAUCCUCUAGGUGUUUAAUAAUUUAGUCAUUGUAGACAUCAUAGUCCAAAAUUUUAAAAUAGCAAAUUUGACAAGCUUAUAAAAGGCCACCUAACUAUGAUCAUGAAAAUUGAAACCGACUAAAAAUAUUUUUAGGGGGAAUAGAUUUGAAUAUUGCACAUGAAGACAAUGCACAAUAAACUAAUAAAUAGAAGCAAUAGAGGCUUGAUAUAGAAUAGUGUUACAGAGAUUAAAAAACUAUCUAUUAAAAAAUAGCAAAUGGAGGAAGCUUACUAACAAGAAUUAAAAUUUCGGUUUUCAUCGGCAAAAUAUCGUCGAUGUAUCAAAUAUCGGUGGUGCCCAACACGAUAUUGGGCACAGAUUAUCGAUCAUUGGGAAUUUUGAAAUUUUUUUAGUAAUAUCGUCGAAAUAUUGACAAUAUAUCGGUUUGGAGGCGAAGUAUCAACGAAAAAAUUGGCAAAAAAUCGCCGAUUUUUUAAUUUUUUUAAUUUUUAAUUUUUGACGAUCCAACGGUUAGAUUUGAAUUUUUGACGAUUCGAUGACCUAGAUUUCACCUGUGUUUUUAUAUUAUCAUUUUAUUUUUAAUUAUUUUUUAUAUUUAUCUCAUUAAUCCUAUCUUUAAAAAUUAUUAUCACUUCACUCUUAAAUAUUUUUUUAUAUUUAUCCUUUCAAUUUUAUUUAAUUUUAAAUGUUUUUAUUUUAAAAUAUUAAAAAUAUAAUUUUACCCAAAAAAAUUGCUACAAUAUAAAAAAUUAAGGAAGUUCUAAUAUUUUAUAAAUUAAAAUUAAUUAUAGUGAGCUUUGGGAAGAAUUAUAAUCUUUUGAUGCUUAUAUAUCUCUUUUAUAUUAUUUUAUAGAAUGAAAGUGCUAUUUAAGGCUAUUGAGAUCAUUAUUUUAAGAAUUAAAUUUAUCAAAAAUUCAAUUUUAAGAUAAAAAAAAUGUAUAUAAGGGAAUAAUAAAUUAUAACAAAGACGGGAAGAAUGUCAUGUGAAAGUAUGAAAAUAGGAUAAAAUAAUGUCAACUAGCCAAGAAAUUAAAAUGAAAUCUCCAACAAGUCACUGAUCAUCUUUUAGGUUUGAUUUGGUCAUUGUAAGAGAAAACAAUUUACUAAAAUACAAAAUCCUCUAGGUGUUUAAUAAUUUAGUCAUUGUAGACAUCAUAGUCCAAAAUUUUAAAAUAACAAAUUUGACAAGCUUAUAAAAGGCCACCUAACUAUGAUCAUGAAAGUUGAAACCGACUAAAAAUAUUUUUAAGGGGAAUAGAUUUGAAUAUUGCACAUGAAGACAAAGCACGAUAAACUAAUAAAUAGAAACAAUAGAGGCUUGAUAUAGAAUAGUGUUACAAAGAUUAAAAAACUAUCUAUUAAAAAAUAGCAAAUGGAGGAAGCUUACUAACAAGGAUUAAAAUUUCGGUUUUCAUCGGCAAAAUAUCAUCGAUAUAUCAAAUAUCGGUGGUGCCCAAUGUGAUAUUGGGCAUCGAUUAUCGAUCGUUGGGAAUUUUGAAAAUUUUUUAGUAAUAUCGUCGAAAUAUUGACAAUAUAUCAGUUUGGAGGCAAAAUAUCAGUGAAAAAAUUGGCAAAAAAUAGCCGAUUUUUUAAUUUUUUUAAUUUUUAAUUUUUGACGAUCCAACGAUUAGAUUUGAAUUUUUGACAAUUCGAUGAUCUAGAUUUCACCUGUGUUUUUAUAUUAUCAUUUUAUUUUUAAUUACUUUUUAUAUUUAUCUCAUUAAUCCUAUUUUUAAAAAUUAUUAUCACUUCACUCUUAAAUAUUUUUUUAUAUUUAUCCUUUCAAUUUUAUUUAAUUUAAAAUUUUUUUACUUUAAAAUAUUAAAAAUAUAAUUUUACCCAAAAAAUUGCUACAAUAUAAAAAAUUAAGGAAGUUCUAACAUUUUAUAAAUUAAAAUUAAUUAUAGUGAGCUUUGGGAAGAAUAUUAAAAAAUAUAGUGAGCUUUGGGAAGAAUUAUAAUCUUUUGAGGCUUAUAUAUCUCUUUUAUAUUAUUGUAUAGAAUGAAAGUGCUAUUUAAGGCUAUUGAGAUCAUUAUUUUAAGAAUUAAAUUUAUCAAAAAUUCAAUUUUAAUAUAAAAAAAUGUAUAUAAGGGAAUAAUAAAUUAUAACAAAGACGGGAAGAAUGUCAUGUGAAAGUAUGACGUUUACCCAUAAAAUACUACAUGUGACAAAGCUUAAGCCAGAAAAAUAGGAUAAAAUAAUGUCAACUAGCCAAGAAAUUAAAAUGAAAUCUCCAACAAGUCACUGAUCAUCUUUUAGGUUUGAUUUGGUCAUUGCAAGAGAAAACAAUUUACUAAAAUACAAAAUCUUCUAGGUGUUUAAUAAUUUAGUCAUUGAAGACAUCAUAGUCCAAAAUUUUAAAAUAACAAAUUUGACAAGCUUAUAAAAGGCCACCUAACUAUGAUCAUGAAAAUUGAAACCGACUAAAAAUAUUUUUAGGGGGAAUGGAUUUGAAUAUUGCACAUGAAGACAAUGCACGAUAAACUAAUAAAUAGAAGCAAUAGAGGCUUGAUAUAGAAUAGUGUUACAGAGAUUAAAAAACUAUCUAUUAAAAAAUAGCAAAUGGAGGAAGCUUACUAACAAGGAUUAAAAUUUCAGUUUUCAUCUGCAAAAUAUCGUCGAUAUAUCAAAUAUCAAUGGUGCCCAACACGAUAUUGGGCAUCCAUUAUCAAUCAUUGGGAAUUUUGAAAAAUUGUUAGUAAUAUCAUUGAAAUAUUGACAAUAUAUCGGUUUGGAGGCAAAAUAUUAGUGAAAAAAUUGGCAAAAAAUAGCCAAUUUUUUAAUUUUUUUAAUUUUUAAUUUUUGACGAUCCAACGGUUAGAUUUGAAUUUUUGACAAUUCGAUGACCUAGAUUUCACCUGUGUUUUUAUAUUAUCAUUUUAUUUUUAAUUACUUUUUAUAUUUAUCUCAUUAAUCCUAUUUUAAAAAAUUAUUAUCACUUCACUCUUAAAUAUUUUUUUAUAUUUAUCCUUUCAAUUUUAUUUAAUUUUAAAUGUUUUAUUUUAAAAUAUUAAAAAUAUAAUUUUACCCAAAAAAAUUGCUACAAUAUAAAAAAUUAAGGAAGUUCUAAUAUUUUAUAAAUUAAAAUUAAUUUGAUAAGAUAAAUUAUUAAUAAUUUUAAUGAUUUAAAUAAAUUAAUGUUAAUAGAAAAAGUUGUUACCACAUAUUUUUAAUAAAAUUUUAGAUAUUAAAUCUCAAAUAAAAUAUUUUAUAUAAAUUAAUUUAUUUUUUCAUUUAAAAUGUAAUAAAACAUGUUUUAAUAAAAAUAUUUUAAAAUUUUUAAUAUAAGGCCUCAUUCAUCUAAUAAUAUGAUAGAUCCACAUCCAUCUUCAUUUUGGUACUAAGGACUAUUAUAAUGUCAUAUGUAUUAUAUUUAUGUAUAAACUAUUCUUAUUCAAUAAAAGCAAACAUUUCUUAAUUCAAUUCUAACUUUCUAAGUGUACACUUCCAAAAUUCAUAUUUAUUAUUCUUAAAAUCCAAGUAUCAAAUCUACUGAUAUAUCUCUAUUUACCAAUAUUUUUCUUCUUGACCAUAUCUAUGUCAAUUACACUUAUAAAAUAACUUAAAAAUGUGUAUUCUUGCUUAUUUUAUCAUUUUUUUUUUAGUUUUUCCAAGUAUUCCUAUAAAUUUUGAAUAAUAUUCAUUGCACCGAUAUUUUUUAUAUAUCCGUAAAAUCGAAGUACUGAUAUAUCCGUAAUUACCGAUAUUUUCAUCAUUACUUACUAGCAACUUCCUUUCAUGUUCCAACAACUCUGAAAGCUUCCAUACCUAGCCGAGCAUUUUUUGAGUUUUGAUUUUUUUCAUUACAUGGAAAAAAUAUUGUACCAAAAAAAUAAAAGUCUUUUAGGUGGGUUUAACUUAAUAGUCGUUGACAUCAUAGUUCAAAAUUUUUUUAAAUAGCAAAUUUGACAAGUGUACAGAAUACCACUUAACCAUAAAAAUAUUCAAGAGGGGCUUGAUUAAAAUAUUGCAUAUGAAGACAAUUUACUAUAAUCUAAUAAAGUAAGAAUAGCAUUGACUUAAUAAUAACCUAAAAAUAAAAAAGAAACUAUAUAUUAAAAAAUAGGAAAUCAAACAAGUUUAUUAUUAGCAACCUCCUUCCAACAACUAAGGAAGUUUCCACAACUAAUUGAGAAUCUUUUGGCUUUUAUUUGGUAGAAAAUAAUACACAAGAACAAACAUUUCUUAGUUAGGUUUAAUUUAAUCAUUGUCAAUGGCUCUUAGAGUGCAUGAUAUAUAUUAUGAGGUCUAAUCUUAUAAGCUUAAAUAUCUAUUAGAGCACAUGAUAUUCAUUUUCUUCUCCCUUACAAUAGCCUCCAUUUUUUGGUUUACAUGUGGGCUUUAUGGAUUGAGUAAAUAAACAUGUUGUGGUGAGGUUCAAACUAUUGACCUUCCAACAACAAAGGCUCUAGGUAAUACCAAUUCUUGGAUCAGGAUUUGAUCAUCUUAAUCUUAUAAUCUUUAGUUUUUCUACUAAUGUUGGACUAUUAGAAAAAGUAUAAUUAUGUCAACAUGACGAGGAACAAAUAAAUAAGAAUGUUAUUAUGUUGUACUCUUUUUUUUCUUUGCUCAAGUUUUAUUUCAUUGGGCUUUGCUGACAUGGUUUUUAAUAAGAUAAUUUUUGUUGUAUAAAAAUAUUAAAAUAAUAUUAUACUCUUUUUCUUUUACUCAAGUUUUUUCCAUUGGGUUUUCCCUACUAAGGUUUUGUAAGAUGUUCUAAAAUGGUUAGCAUCCAAUGGUGUGUAUUCUAAUUAGGUGCAAAAAUUUGUAGAUGUUACCAUUUCUCAUAAUAUAUGUUUUUGAUAUCCAUGUAAACUUCAUAAUUAGUAUAAAAGUAUUUAUUGUAACAUUAUAAUACUAAAAUACUUUGGUUAGUUUCAAUUUAAGACAAUCUUUUGUGAGCCUAUCAAAUUUACUAUUUUUAAAUUUUUUGAUUAUGACAUUGUUAGACUACAUGAUAUACAUAAUAUGAUUUGGGAUUAUUAGAUCCGACUUUGACUAUCUCGUUUGAAAUCUAAUUGGUAUAUAGUGAUGAUAGGCUAAGUCUUUUAUUGCAUUCGACUACCAUCAUUUAAGUGAUUCAUCUACCAAGCUUAAGAACGACAUUGUUACACCCCAAUAAUCCCCCCCCCCCCCCUAACAUGAUGCUCUUGUGGCUCAAACCUAUGACCUUGACUUUGACACCAAUGUUGAAUAUCGAUUUUUCUAAAAGCUUAAAUUUAUAAGAUUUGGGCUCACAAUGUAUAUUAUGCACUCUAAUAGAGACACUUCAAUGUUGGCUAUAAGCCUCUAGAGUGUUGUAGUUGACAACACUUUUGAAAAGAAUUUGAUGAAAUAUGCUUUGUUUUAUAAUAUUUAAUAUAUAAUGCAAUUUAUUCAAUAUGGUAUUCAUUUGCUACCAUUGGAUUUUCUUUGAUAGAGGAUAAUUUAGAACAGUCUCAAAUAUGUUUGAUCAUAAAUAUUAACAACUCACAUUCACAACUUGCUUCAUGAAUCAUGUUAUUUUGGAAUGAUUUGAGGAGGUGGCUACAAUUCAUUGCUUGACCAAAUUUCCAUAAUCAAUAUAUGUUUGAUCUUGUUCUAAUGCCUUCGAGUUGGAAUAGGAACUAUACAUCUUGCUAGUACAUUAAUUUGUACAAUUUGCAAGAUAUAUCAUUAUGUUAAUUGCAUUGAGAUAUGAUACUUUUGGACCAAACACUUCCAUUUUCUUCUUUGGAUGAAAUGUAUCUUUAUUUACUUCAAGUGAACAAAUAACUAUAUUAAAGCUAAAUGAGUGUCAUUUAUCCACAGGAAAGUAUUUUAAGACUUUUUGUAUAUAUGUCAACUGAUGGACUAACACACCUCUUAGAAAAUAAUUGAUCUAUAAGUUUAGAUAAAAUUUUGGUUUUCCAAUAUCCUUCAUUUUCUUAUGAACUCUAUUAAACCAAAGUUUGAUUAUUAUUGAUUUUGAUAAUAACAAAAUAAGGUUUGAAACUAAUGAUUGAUCCUAAGUGUGUUUAGGUAAGAAGAUUUCUAAAGAAGCAAUUAAAGAUAUAUAAAAACUAAGUGACAUCAAAAAGAAAGAGAAAGGACUUAAAAAGAAGAAGAAUGAAAACCUAUUCUCAAUAUCUUUUUAUAAGGUUGUAAGUGCACUAGGUUCAUAUUGCAUUACAACUUUAUUUAAGAACUUAAAAUUAUCCAAGUGCCUAAUUGGUUUCAUUCCUUUAUAAAUUGAAUGAAGAAUCUUUCUAGAUGAGAACCAUUUUUGUUUAGUGAUAUUCAUAGUUAAAAUGGUUUUCGAAAUGACAAGGAAUUAUCUAGCCAAUUUCCCUAAGGAUUUUGUGAUAAAGUUGCAAAACCUAUAGAACUCAUUUAUGUAUUUUUGUGAAUGAUUUUUAUUAACAAAGUUCCCAAUAUCUCAAGAAAGAUUCAAGUAUUGAAUCUAGUUAAUUGAAGACCUGCAUCCCUUCAAUGAGGUUAAGGUGUAUUUAUAACAACUAAUACUCAAUCAUGUAGAUAUUAUCCGUUUUGGACCCAAAAGGACCCUCACAACUUUAAAACGCAUCUACAAGGUUAAGAAAAGUUCAUACAUAUAUAACCCCACUAACUUUCUCCCUUAUCCGAUGUGAAAUAUCACAAACACCCUAUAUGUAGACACAAUGUCCUCAUUGGGUUCCAUGGGAUUAUGGGGACAAACAAACAAACACCCCUUAUGGGGCCAAACAAACCCCAACAAACCCCAACAUCAAGGUUGAGAAUUGACUUUAAUACCAUUUGUAAUGACUUGCACCCAACUGUGUAGAUAUUGUCCACUUUAGGCUCAAAUGAGCCCUUAUGGCUUUAAAAUGCAUUUAUAAAAUUAGAGGAGUUCAUACAGUGUUAAGAACUUUCUCCCCUAUUCAAUGUGGGAUAUCCAAACACCAUUCAUCAUUCUCUCCUCAUGUAGACAUAACAUCCUCAUUAUGCCCAUGAGAUUACGAAGCCAAAUAAACAAAACACCCCUUUAGGUUAAAUAGCUGACAAUCUCUACACGGGUGUGAGUCAUUAUAAAUGAUAUCAAAGUCAAUCAUUGACCUCGAUGUAGGGGUUUGUUUGGCCUCGUAAUCCCAUGGGACACAACAAAGAUGUUAAUGUGUCUAGAUGGGGGUGUUUGUGAUAUCCCACAUCAAAUAAGGGAGAAAGUUAUUGGUACUAUAUAUGUAUGAACUCCUCUUAAUCUUGUAGAUGUGUUUUAAAGUCGUGAGGGUUAAGUCAUUACAGAUGGUAUUAAAGUCGAUCCUCGACCCCAAUGUGGAGGUUUAUUUGGUCCUAUGAGGGGUGUUUGUAAUAUCCCACAUUGGAUGAGAGAGAAAAUUACUUAGACUAUAUAUGUAUGAACUCCUCUUAACUUUGUAGACGUGUUUUAAAGUUAUGAGAACCUCUUUAUACAUAGAGCGGACAAUAUCCACACCUUAUAGUAUUCACUUAACUAAUAGGAAGUUGUUGCGUCGUGUACUUGAAUCAAAUUGUAAAUACUAAAGAGUAAGUCUUUAUGGUAAAACUACUAGGUAAAUUUGUGUAAUUUGAUCUCAUAUAAUGGAUUUAGAUUAGUGGUCUUAGGCCUCAUGGUUUUUUUUUUUAUCUCCACAAUUAGUGUCAGGAUUUUCCACAUAAAAAUUUCUAUGUCUCACGACGUAUUUUGUGAUUUUGUGGUUACUUUGAUCAUAUAAAUUAUCCUUGAUAUAUUGCAAGUUUAAUUGGGUUUCAAAACUAUUCUCCCUAUUUAAAUUUAGGUUAAUAAAUUUCAUUCCUUAUAUUAUAUUUUUUUUAAAUACUUCAACCUCUAUAGGUGUUAUCCUACUGGACUUAGGUUUUUCAAAGAAUAAUAACAUAAAAGAAAUAAAGUGGAAUUAUAUGAAAAUUAUGAAUAACAUUAAUUUGAAACGAUUUUUCAAUUGAUAAUUUAAAAUUUCAAAUAAUAAAAUAAAUUUGAAAAAUAAUUUUAAAUUGACAAUUUUAAAAGAAGAAUUUUUCCAAAUCUUUUAAGAAAUUUAGAAAGGAAUUUAAAUUGGAAUUUAAAAAUGAAAAUCUUUUCAAAUCUCUUUGAUUUUUUAAAAAGAAAAUAUUUCCAAAAUUCUCUAAGUAUUUGAAACUAACCUCUUUUUUUUUUUUUUUUUUUUUUUUUUUUCUAAAAUACGAUUUCUAAAUUGAUUCUAAGUCAACUAGUUUUUCUUUAGUAUAAAUAUGUCUUUUAGGAGAGUUCUAAGAACUCACACACCUAAGCUUUAAGUCAUUAUUCUUUGUGCUUAACCCGAAACUCUCAAAGGUGUUUGUUUUCAUUCUUGGAUUCAUGAGAAAGAUUUGCAUUCCCUUAAGUUGUUGAGGAGUCCACUAAGGAGCACAGUUGUGUUGCAUGUAGAUGAGAAAUUAGGUGUAGGUUCAAAGGUGUAAGUAAGUCUCAGGAAGUAGUAACCAUCAAGUAAAUUUAUGUACCUAGUCUUCAUAUUUAGUAUAUUACAACUCUAUGGUCUCUUGACCCUAAAGUUUUUAUUUUCACAAAGUCUUUGGAAGACUUAGUGGGUGAUUUUGUAAAUUGUUGUCUUCUUAUGUAAUUAUAUUUCUCUACUUCAUAUGUAAUUCUUGAAAAGGAAUUUAAAAAUAAAAAGUUAGGUUAAAAAGAAAGAACUAUCUAUUCAAUGCCCUUUAGGUAGGUUCAUAACAAGACCUAUAACUUUCAAUUGGUAUCAUAGUUAGAAAAAAAAUAUAUAAAAAUCAAAAUUUUCUUCAAUUCCUAUCUUUGAUAUUGUUUUCACGGAAUUUAAAGAAAAAAAUAUUUACUUUUGGCUUGUAAAUUUUUUUUCUUAGUCGGGAAAGAUUGCAUAAAGAAUAUAAAUGGUUGGAUAAAAAACUCAAGUAACAAGAACUCGUAUGUGAGUAUUUAUCUCUUGAAUAAAAAAAGGCAGCAUGAAAUAGUUGCUAAUUUGAAUAAAAAAAUGAUCACUUUCCAAUAAAGUUGCCUUCUUUGAAAAAGAAAAUCAUUGGUGUCAUAAAAGUAAAAAAUCAUUGACUCUUGAAAUAAAUAAUUGCAAGAGAGAAUUAUCUUGUAGGAAAAAAAUUAGUCGGUCCAAAGAAACAUAAGAAAGUCAAGAAAGUGACUUGGAGUUAGUCCAAGUCAAGUGAAAGUAAAUCAUGGAAUUUUGGUGAGAAUAGCAAUCAAAAUGACUACUUUGUAUUGGUUGCACCUGUUUGAAUAUGAUAAUAAUUCUUUUAAUGAUAGAAAUUUUGAUGAUAGUGUAUGUGUGUUUGGUGAUACUGAUGAAGCCUAUCAAAGCUAGUCUUUUGAAUGAAUGCAUCAAAUUAAAGAAAGAAAGAAAGCAUGCUAGUGAAUGAUAAAUAAUCUAUUGAGAUAUUUGCUUUAAAUGAUUCACUUAAAGAUAAGAAUAUUGUUUCGAAAAGAGAAAGAAAACUUACUUGAAAAAAUUAGAUUUCUAGAGAAUUAACAUAGUUGCUUGGUUGAGAGAAAAAACAAAGUUAAAUUCUAGAAAUUGAAAAACUCAAGAAAAACUUGGCCUCAAAAAAUGAAAAUUUGCAUUUAGGAACUAAAAUGUUUAAUGAAAUCAUUAGAAAAGGGAAAUUCAAUGGAGAUAAGGGAUAUCUUGGUGAGUCAUAUGCAAUGUUUGGUUUAGUUUACCUUGUAGUUGCUAAUGUGGGUGCUAGCAACUAAGUGGGAGUGUUUGAAGUAGGAUGAAUGGAAUUCCAAUGUUCCAAAUCAGUUGAUUACCAACGAUGAUUGGAGCUUAUAUGUGAAGCUACAUUUAUCCCUCUUAGCUUAGGCUUUUGAGAGUAUAUAUGGUCCCAAAUCACCAGAUCAUGAAGACAACAUUUUGGGAUCUAAGAAUUCCCUCAUAGUAGUUGGGGAUAAAGCUUUUGGGCAAACCCCAAAGCAGGAGAUAGUCUGAGGAAUUUUCAGCUACCAUCCUCGUGUAUUCUUUACUAUUCUCAGGCUCUCUUAGUAAUUUUCAUUGCAUUGUUCAUGUGUAAUUAGUUUUUGAAGAUUUUAAUAUAGAUGCCUAUAGUUUUGUAUAGAUUUUGAGCACUUUGGACUUCAAUUUAAUGGUUUUUUUGAAUUGCAAGUUCUGACCUUAUUCUCUUUGUUCUUUAUCAUGUGUGACCAAUAGUUCUUCAAAGUUAAGGAGGGUGGUCCGUGAAGUCCCUUCAGGAACAAUUAAUGCACCUCACGGGAUGAAUUGAUAUUGUCUUCACCUUGUAAUCGAAGCCUCCCAAACCCAUUUUGCUCUUUGGAAUGGAAACUUAGAAGUUGCUUUUAAGGUAUUUUAUGUGCUGAGGGUCGUAACUGUCUUUGAACUUUGAAGUUUAGGCUAGAAUUGAAGAAAAAUGUGAGCAAAAACACAAAAAUACAAAGAAAAAAAAUUGAACAUUAAUAAAUUAUGUUUAUAUGCUACUUCAAAUUCAUUCAGUUUUAUUUUUUUUAUUUAUUAUUUUAUAUAAAAAUUAAAUAAAUUAAAAAUCCAUAAAUUUUUAAUUAAUUCUAAUUACAUUUGAUUGUUUUCUUUUUUUGUACUUUUUCAAACAAAACCAAAUAGUAGGAAAUCAUUUUUCUUUAAUACUAUUUUCUUUUUCUUUAAUAUUUUCUGGGAAUUAAUAUAGUCUUAAAUCUGACAUUGGCAUUAGGAUGAAAAUAAGGUUGUUAAAAUGAUAGAAAGGUUAAGGUUGCAAAGGCAGAGCUACAAGUAAAUGUUUAUCUGUUGGAGGCUCUAAGUUGUGUAUUGGCCGUGAAAGGAGGAACUUCAUUAGACCCCCUUUUGUUGGAAUGUUAAGUUUAUUCGGUGUUUACAUAGCUGUAAAUAAUUUUUUUUCUCGCUUUUUUUUAACCAAAUAUUUCCCAGGUCUUCCAAUAUCUCAAUAUCUCCUUAUUAAACAAUCCUCUUUCAACCACAACACAAUUUAAAGAGAAAAUCAGCACCACUUUGGGACAUCAUGCCUGUGAAAGACUCCCUGUACUUGAGGAAUCAACACAGUCAGCAUUCAGGGCUCAAGUAUUCUUUUCAUUUUAGGCUUUUAGAGUAACAAACCCAUGGUGUGCCAGUAAAUGGAAAAAUUGGAGAUGAUUACAGCAUACAGAGACAACAUAAAAAUGAACUAAAAUCAAUUAAAUAAACAAAAUUUCAAAUUCAAAUAUAAAGCACUCAGUAUAUUGGGCUCAAUAUUAGAAACUAGAAAAGAUCCUAAGGAAAAAUGAACUCAGAUAAAAGAUUUACAUACAAACAAGUCGAAAAGGACCCAAAAAAUAAACAUCAUUGAAGUACUACUCCAAGAGAUAUAUUAAUACAUAAUAAGUCAUCUAUUAAUGUUUAGAAAACAAAUACACUUGAGGAAGGUUUAGAAGCCAUGAGUGCUAUGAUCUCAUGUUUGGGUUUGAAUUAAAGCUUCAACAAUCACCCAUGAUAACAAUGAUGGAGAAUUUUGAAUCCACCAUUCCUUUAUCAAUCAACAUCCUCUUAAUCCAUACAUUCCCUUUUUUACUUUCCAUGUUUCAGUAAUGCAUUUUAAGGCAACACCUAUUUCAGCAAGGAAAGAUCAAUGGAAACUGAGAGACUGUAGCAGUCAUUCUUGUGCUCCUCAUUCCCUUCUCUCUUUGAGGUUGCUUGCUUUUCAAGAAAAUUUCAUUCAAGUUUUCAACCAAAAUUUUUAAUGGAUUUUCUUGAGAAAGAAUGGGAUGAUUCUUCAUUCAUUCAUAUCUCAAUUUUGAAUCUAUUUGGGUUUGUGUAAAAACAAAUGUUCUUCUUGUGUGAAUUCAAGAAGAACCCGAGAUUGAACUUGAUGUGGACUCCAAGUGUGCUUUGGAAGAAGAAGGUGAGAAGUUGAAAGUGAAAGGUAUUAGUAAGGAUUGGUAGGUUUGAACUAAGUAAAAUCUUGUAUUCAGUUUUUAUUCUUCAUAGUGGACAUUUUUUAUUGGUUGUUGGCCCGUGGUUUUUUACCUAUUCGGAGGUUUUCCACGUUAAAAUUUGGUCUCAUUGUCUCUCAUUCUCCUCUUCAUUUCAAUUUCAAUUUUAGCUAUCUUUGAUAUUUUGGACGUUUAAUUUUUGGUUGAAUGUUGAGGUAAAAUAUAUAUGAGUUACCUUUAAUGUUAUUGUUAGCCCAAGGGUUCUCCUAAUCGGGUUUUGAUGAUAACAAACCAUGGCUAAGUAACUAAUUGGUUUAAUGUUUAAGAAUCUCAGGUAUAAACUCGAAAAUUCAUCAAAUGACCAAAUGGAUACAAGAUCGAGACGCUUGGAAGACUUGAGAUCAUAGGAAAUGAAUGUAAGAUGAUAGCAUGAGUGCACUUAGGAUGUUCAUACCUUUUCAUGCAUCUUAGAAAACUCGGUUUAUUCUUUAAAACUUGAUUUUCUUUAAAACCCGAGUUUUAUCAAACAUACCUUAGGCAAAUUGAUUCAAAAGUGGCAUAUUAACUCACCUAAAGACCUUGCCUAAGUAUUGGAAAAGAAAGAAAUAAAAAAGGAUAGGUUUUCGGAGCCAAAAGGCUCAACCGGUCGAGGCUAAGGCCAACCGGUCAACCGGUUGAGUAACCGGUCGACCAGCUGAGGUCGUCCGGUCGAGGAUCGGACGAGGAAGGUUAAAAACAUUUUCUCUCUCCCAGUAGCCUUCUUUUCCCGGUCGAGGUGAUUCCUUUACCGGUCGAGGACUGGUCGAGGUCCGGUUGAGGCAACGGUAACCUGUCAUACAUUAAAUGCUCCAACAGCUAGUGAACCGGUCGACCCCUAGCUCGACCGGACGAGGCUGCCUUUUGCUGUUUUUGACUCCCGAGUUUAGAAACCUAUAAAUUGAGAGCUCCACUUCAUUCAUGACCAAGAGAACAAUUGCAUUCAAAGCCUACCUACCUGUUCUUGAUCAAAAAGCUUUCAUUUCUUUCUUAGUGCAUUAAAACCAUCACUUGCAUAUUCUUAGUGCACUAUUGUAAAUCAUCCUAGCUUUCUCUUAUACUUGAGUCAUCCUUAAGCUAGGUUGAGAGUUUCAUCUUUGUGUAAACUGAGUGUGAAAGCCUUCAAGUGGUUCAAAUCUUAAAGAGAUUGUGUAAGAGCCCAUUGGAGCCGGAAUCCAAGUGUAAGAAGAUUGAAAGCUUGAUUGAAGCUUCAAGAUUAGUGGAACCCUCACUCGGUUAGGAGAUUGAGGAGAGUGGACGUAGGUAAGAAAACGCCGAACCACUAUAAAACCGAGUUUGAAUUCUCUAACUUUAUCUCUUUCCUUUAUUUAUUUUGUGCAUAUAUUAUUAUGUGGAAAAAGAUUUUGAAAAACCCAAUUCACCCCCCCUUUUGGGUAUUUUCUUUAAUUAUUCAUAGCCUUUGUUUUAUCAGUUAUUUUUUAAUAUUAUUCAUAGGUAGGUAUAUUUGAGAUAUUUUGCUCUUGUUAUUAAUAAAAAAUUGUUCUAAGUUUUUGUGUUGAGAAGUGUUGGAACAUAUGCAUAUGAAUUGCAUUUUAUUCUUGUUGGGGAGUGUUGUUGCAUUCAUAUUUGUAUGUGAUUUCUAAUUUGUGUUUUUAAGUGUUUGUAAAGACAAGGAACAAUUGUAAAAAUUGUUAAGGUUAGUUACUUGUAUUGAGAGGCUUUUAAAUUGGACAAAAACACCUAUUCCACCUCCCCUUUAGGUGUAUUCUAUAAUUGACAUUUACUUGUUAUAGUAAAAUUAUUACAUUUUAAUUAUUAUUUGAGUAAAAAAAGAAAUAGCUUCUAAAUUCCUUACAAGACUUUUAAAAAUAUUUUUAAAAUUGCCUACAAGUUCGAAUACUCUAAAUAAUUAUAGAAUUAACAAAAACAUUGAUGGAUAGAAAUUUUAUGAAUUCAAAUUUAAUGAGAAAAAUUAUUACUUUUCAAGUUAAAAAUAAAUGAAUAUAAAUUAAUAAUAAAAUAAAAGAUUAUCAUAUGAUACUAAAAAAUUGUUUUUAGGUGUCAUUCAUAUUAUAACAUAUUACAAAUCAACAAAAUAAUCUUAUUUCUUUGUAUAUUGUUACACAUAUCAGCCAAUAAAGAAUAAAAUAAUCUAAUUUCUUUUCUCUCUUGUUAUACAUAUCAAUCACUCGUAUUUGAAUUUUGUUAUGCUACUCAUGCAUUUUGAACCUUAGAAUUUUCUUUAAAUAAAACAAAAACAAAAAAUAUGAACAAAAGAGAUAUUUUCAUUUAAUCUUGUAACAUUGCCCCAUUGAUGACAUGUAACAAUCAACUGGCGCAUAACAGUCAUUUACUUAUGGCGGCUUACUGCCUGGCCAAGUUUUGGUCAAGUGGGACCACUUUGACCAGCUUUAUUUGGAUUGCCUACCUAAUUAUCUUAAUGUUUGGGUACCCACAUAACCUAUAAUUGAAAUUUCAUGAAAUUAUUUAUUAGAAGAACACAUUAACAUAUCCCAUUAAAGCUUCAUGAAAUAUAUUUCCAACGUAAUUACUUGAAUCACAUUUAUAGAUCACAGAAAACAUUUGUCACACGAGAAGUUCUUUAGAAUGGUGAUUAAUUUUUACUUCUAAAAUAGUCUAAGAACUAGAGAUGGAGGUAUCAUUGGACUGUUAUGACUGGCAAGCUUUGAUGUCCUACUUCGACUUUUCACAUUGAUGUGCCCUAUUCGAGUCUCUCUCUUGGUGCUACACCUGCCAUGGUAUUGUGUCCAUGGCUCACCAAGUCAUCUCCUUGCGCAAGGUAUUGAGCCCUUGUGCCACCUUGCUAUAGUCCUAGAUCACUCAUGAGGCCUUAGUGUCGGAUGGUCCUUGUCAAGGGCUAACAUAGUCAAAUCCUUCUGAAGUUACAAGAAAUGCCUGUGGCAUAUAUGUGAAUAGAACAUAUCAAAUAUCAUAUCAAUAUAAUUUUUUUCUAUACAAUUAUAUUUAGAGUCUGGUUAACCUAAAAGUUUUUUUUUAAAAAAAAUUAGUGUUAAACAAAAUUUAGGAAACACUUCUAAAAAUUUGAAAAAUUACUUAGUAAUGUUUUCUAAAGAAACACUUGAUAGGUAAUUUUCAUUAAAAAAAACACUUUCAGAGAAAAUACUUCACUAAAAAUACUUUAAGUAAAAAUACUGUUAAACACACUCUUACAGUCUUAUUAUGUUUUAUUAAAACAAUAUGGUAGUGCCCAUAUGAAGAAGAUGAAGCUAAUUAAAAAUAGAUGCUCAAAAUGAAUUUUAAACAUUUUACAAUUCAUCGAAAUUUCAGAAAUACAUGGACUUACAGAAAGGCUCUUCAUGAGAAGAUAUUCCACAUUCUCUACGGAAAGUUUGGUGCCCUCUGCAAUGAUAUUCAAUGGAAUGGUACCAUCUUCUGAAGGACGGCUGCAAGAUAAAAUAUCUCAGUUGAAUUUAGCAAUAACUUUCUGAAUCUUGCCCAGCAAUCACACGUAAAAUGAUAUUGUUAACAUACAUGAAGAUGAUAUCCAUCAAGCUGAGAAUGAUUUCUAGUAGAUUCUUCUAAUUCUGAACCAAUGUCGGUUGAGAACUCAGUAGCAUUAUGGACACGACAUAAUUCUUGAUAGCAGAGUAAAUCAUCAUAGUUGGAUGCCUGGAGUAUCUAGUAGAGCCGCUCAACCUUUUUCCCCUAGAGACUUUCUAUCUGUAGGAGUUGGUAAAACAUUUGGCUCCAAUGAAGACAUUGUGCAGUUCUCUUUUGGUAAAUCAUCAGGCGCAAUAGCUCGCUGGGCCUAGGGAUGAUUGCUGCAGAAUUCUUAACGGAUUAGAAUUGGAGCAUCCAGUCAACACCAAAGGAUUAAAUAUGAUAAAGCUCAAAAUUACACCAUUACUCAAAGCCUGUAAAAUACACUUGACCCAACAGCUGCAGGAAAUACUGAGAGGGUUGUUUCUGGAAUAAGGUUGAGCUGAAGGUGUUUUAUGACUCUAUUGGACCAUCAUCUCCAAGGAGGCCAAAUAUGUGGAGGUUCCGUUCCAUUGAUCCCAUAGCCAAGUAUUUUGCACCUAUCUAGACCAAAUUUUACUCAAGUUGCUUUGCCUGCAUGCAGGACUAGAAGAAGUCAUAUUGAAGAUUGUAAUGGAAGAAUGAUAAGACAGCAAGAUAAAUGUGACACAAGUUUGCAAGAAAAUGAGACAAAACCUGUGCCAGACAAAAUAGUGAAAGUUUUGAUUCAGUUCCACUCCGAUUUUACAUUGGCAACUUGGUAAAAACUCUGCAAAACCAGAAGCCUUAAUACCAAUUUCCAGUUAAGCAUAAGAAGUUCUAAGGUUUCAUUAAAAACCCACCUAUUGUAAUCUUUCAAAAUACAUGAAAGGAAAUGAACUUGCAUAUAACAGGAUAGUUUAACAACUUCAAAAACUAGGUUUUAGAGAACUGCCAUCUGAAAAUAUUUUAAAGAUAGGCAUAUGUAAAUUAAUCAUAACGGCUAGUAUCAGAAAAAAGAAAAACCAAUUUAACAAAAAAAAAAAAGGCUAGCUAAAUAAAUUUAUAUUGCUUGCCAUUGCAAAGGUCUAUCAUGGAGGAAAUUACAAGCUGCCACAUGAACCACAAAAGAAAAGUACCUUGCAAAUUUUAGAAUUUACUUGAGACACAAUUUGACACUGAAUAUUCAUUUUCUAGAGAAGUUCCCACCAAUUUUGAGGCUAUCUUCCACACAACUUCUGAAUUUCUUUUGGUCAGAAACCAAUUGUUUGGGCUAUAGGACUGACAUGUUUUCAGUAGAAUGUGAAGAAUAUGCACAACUAUAUUACAUGAAGGUGGAUUGAACUUACUUUCCACCAACAUAAGGAAUGCCCUUCCUUGAAUUGGCAGGAAUCUCACCUUGAAACCCAGGCAUAAUUUGUCAUUUCCUGCACAAUUUUGGGAUCAUCAGUGUAGCUCUUGUAGCAUCAACCCCACGUUGGAUCUCUGCAUACAUAUUAUAUAUAGAGGGGUCCAAGAUUAGAAUAGUUUGAGAGCCAUAUGUCAUUUCAUUAAUACCAAAAUUUUAUUCAAAUGAUUUUCAAUAGUACACCACAAUACAGGAUGCCAAGGCAUAUGUACAACAAGUAGCUCUAACUUCAAGGGCAAUUGUAGGAUGACAUAAUCAGCCAAGUAAUGAUCAAACAUCCUCUGCAAUAAAAUACUUAACCUAAGUUAGAGUAUUUUGAGAAUAGGAAGAGUGAUACACCAAAUUCCCUUUCAAUGAAAUAGAAUAUGAAGAUCAAGAAAAGUAAUUACCAUUACUGUCAGUAUAUUUCAGAGUAUUUAGAUUCCCAUGCUCAAGAAAAUUUAGAACAGUGGGGAAACCAAAUUUUCUUAUGAUUUAGUACUACGUGUGCUCCUCACCAAAGUGUUAGUAUUCUACCGUAUAUGAGAACAAACUAAAAAAGCUCAGAAUUGUGGAGAAAAAAAUUAUAUAAAGGGCAGCAAUAAAUUAAUAAUCCAAAAACUAAAAGCACAGAGAGAGAGAGAGAGAGGAAUUAUAGACCUCAAUAAUGAAGAGAUUAUAGACAACAGACAAAAAUGAAAGAAAACAUAUAGGUUUAGGAGAACGAUGAAAUUAAAAAAAAAAAAAUUAAUUAAAGUGAGCUCUCUUUCCAUAUGCAUCAACCAUUAAUAAGCCAUACACAUUUAUCUCUCGAAUAUUGAACCAAUGAGUAAGUUCUCAACAUUAUCUAAACUUUGGACAGAAAACACGGCAACUUAUGAUUUAUUGGAAAAUGAUUAGUCAUUAAUGAUAACAAGCAUGAAAUAAAUUUCAAAACUAACCUAAUUAUUCAACAAACAUGCACAGUGAACUUAAAUAACAUUAUUAAUCUUUCCAAAAGUAAUUGGUUGGCUUAAUUAUAAGUACAUUCAUCCAAAAAUAUUAAAUUAACUCACAAUUCAAAACCAUGGAGAAGGUUUGCCUAACAUGGAAUCUAUUUAAGAUUUCAUAUCUUCAGUAAACUACUUUUGCAUCAGAAAAACAAAAAUAGAGGGCAACAAUUUUGGAAGACCAACAGUAUAAUGAUAAAAAAAUGGUCAAAAAAAAUGGAGGGAUUGCACUCCUGAAAAAUAUUAUAGAUGACAUGCUUGAAUGAAAGAGCAUAGUAGUCCUCUUGACAUCUUUCAAUAAGUAUAACAUUCUGAUUUUCAUGUAUACAUUAUCAAGUAUGGAUAUAAUGUCACUUACUCUGGCAAUGGUACUCCCUUUCAAAGUACUUUUUCAAACUAUUGAGUCUGGCUACUUCAGAUAUGAGAAGAAUAGUGCUACCUUCAAUGGUCAAUGCAAACCAUUUAGGUUCCCAAGCUUGAGAAGCUUCAAAGAUGGGAAUUAACCAAACUCAUGUUUUACUGAUUCAGCAGUAUAUGCUGCUCACUCAACUCUCAGCUAUAGACUACACAUGGGAAUAAAAAAAUCAACAUUGCAAGCAAAGUAGAACACUUUUUUAACAAACUGAUUGAGAAGUAAUAAACAAUAAAGGGAUCAAAAGCAUAAACCUGAAUAGAAAGAAUGAUUGUGACCAGUAACAAAAACUGAGGGCUAAGGUUGGUGAUGCAAUUGAGAUAACCCUUUUCAUAUUCAUCAGCCAUCCAUAACUGGCCAACAUUUGUCUCUGGAACAUUGAAGGGCUCAAACAGCAUAACUGUGUUGUCACGGUGGCUCAAGCACUCACAAAUAGCAUGGAAAACAAUUCUCUUUUGCUUGUGUACCCAACUGUACAAUUAAAAAUGAAAGAAAAGGCAGAAGUAGAGGAAAUAUUAAUUUAUCAGUGUCUAUCUCCAGCCUAUUAAUGAUGAAUAUUACCAGAAUAAUGCAAUAUUUGUAACUGACGGGUUCUAAAACAAUAAACAUGAACCGAAAAAAGUAGGAAGAGAGAUUGGCAGUGAAAACCUGGAAUUGUGGAAGACUCACUCGAACUAAAAGAGACCAGUGAGUCCUUCAUGCACCAGCCAUCUAUUACUUGUCAAUAUAAAUUUGUCAUUUUCCUUUUGGCAUCUUCUCCUUAUGUAUUAAGAGAUUUUGAGGCUGUGUAGAGUGCCAAUGGAUCGUUACCUUCCAGUGGUGUCAAGCCACCAAUCCAUAUGGUUAUGAGGCUUCCCUUUGAAUUGUGUGCCACUGUCAUCAUCCUCAUUCUCAAACAGAUGUUCUUCUUAGCGGCUGUGACAUGCGGAAUAUGUUGAGACAAAGACAUUGUUCUCUGCACAGACAGUUUACAGUCUUGGAGAGAAGGGAGGUGUCACAGUCCCACCUCUAGCAGAGAUAUUUGGAGACUUACAUGAAGGCAAGGCCAAUGUGAACUCCAAUCAGCUUUAGUUCCUCACUAUUUUGAAGAUGCAAAAUUUUCAAAAACUUAGUGAUCUAUGUAUUUAUUUGAACAUAUAGACAGUAACUUAUAAAAAUUGAAGCUGUUAAAAGCAGGACAGAACAUUGGAUUGCAAACCUGAAAUAUGUUGUAGAUGACAAGCUUCAAUUGAAGAACAGAAAUCCUAUUAAAUCAGGUACCAUUGCUAGUCAAUAUCAAUUUCAGGAAAGUUGAAGUGUUGAGUGAUGCAUUCCUUCUGGCAGUGAUUCCCAUUCUGGGCCAACAGCAUUUUCAAGCUCAUUAAGAGAUGUCAAGCUGUCUUCUAGUCUAGUAAAGUUACAAAACAAGAGAAAUGGAUGAUUUUAAGGAUUUCCAUGAUGUUCACAUUUCCAAGCUCCAAUAACGGAGGCAUCAACUUAGUAUUCGACAAAAAAGUCUCUCUGUAACAUUUAUUCCACCUCUCAAAGGUGAUUAAAUAUUGCAUCCACUGAUAGAGAUGUCCAAGCCCCACCAUUAUCCCUUUUUACAUUGAAUUUACACCAAUUACAUCUGCAAGAAAAUAGUUAACCUGAGAAACUUCCAAACACAAAUAGCAAGAUCAUUUUAGCAAAACAGAACUAGCAAUUGAUAUCUUUAAAGAUACAUUUUUCAAACUUUAUUAACUACAAGCAUGCUUUCAGGCCACAAAGGUUCAACUAAAUUAUAAUAUCAAUGGAACAUUUUUUUUUCUCUAUGCUAACCCUAUCAAUGGUUGACAUAAUAAUCAAGUGUUUUUGUCUAUGUUGUGCUUUGGUUCAAGUGAUAUUUAGAAAAUAGUAUUAAAACAUAGAAAUAUCCUACUAUUUUGUCUAUGCUAAUACAUACACACAGCAUAGAGAAGACAAGGAAUGUAGAAAAUCAAUGAUGAUGCAGUCAUCAAUAGUGGGAGAAGGAUUACCUAAAUUGAAAAGGAAGCAAAAUUCCUUUCUGCAUGAAUCAUCUAAGAGUAUAAAUUUUUGGGCCAUGUGAAAUCUUAGGUAAAUUCAAGACUGAUCUUCUUUGGGCUUUAGGCCAAUGAAUAAUCUUGAGUUUCGAGUUUGCAAGAAAGUAACUAAAUCAACCCUAGCAUUUUCCAAAAAUCUUAGGAUGUAAAAAUUAAAGUAACAUGAUUACAUUGGUUCUUAAUUACCAAUUAAGAACUUGUCUAAUUGUACAUUGAUUGGAAGAUGCAACAUUUUCAUACUUAGUGAGAUCUAAGCAUUUUCCCAAAU